ACCUUCAUCCAAGGCAACUUUUCCAGUAUUGCCUCCCACUGGCUUAACCGGACUCCUAACGCUAACAGGCUGUAAAUGAAAACAAAAAAGCCACACCUUAAAAAAAUGAAUAUAGAAAACAAAACAAGCAAAUGAAUGCAAGUAAAAAGAAAAAAAAAGAUUGCACAAGGUCAACUAUUAAAACAACAUCAGUACCACCCCCUCAAUUGAUGCAAACAAUAAUCAGCCUCACCUGGCCGCAAAUACCAGCCCAAACACAAUUAAAUAGUUGCAAGUACGACUAGUAGGUCACAUGCAGUACAAAAACACAUACCACUCCAAACAAUGAAUAUAGAAAACAAAACAAGCAUAUGAAUGUUACUAAAAAAAGAGAUUACACAAGUUCAACUAUUAAAACAAUAUCAGUACCACCCCUCGAUUGAUGAAAACAAUGACCAGCCUCACCUGGCCAGCAUGCCAGCACAAACACAAAUUAAAAAUCAUUGCAAGUACAACUAGCAAGUCACAUGCAGUACAAAACACAUACCACUUCAAAUUCAUCUUCUGAAUCAACUUCAAUAUCAUCUUCUUCAGAUGCAGCAUCUUCAGCUUCAACACGAGCCCGCUUCUUCCCACCUUUGUUCACCUUUGCAGGAUGAACUUUACGCUUCUUAUUUUCUUUCAACAAAGACCGCUCUUGAAGAGGAGAAGAAGAAGGCUUCUUAUUUGUCAAACCUCGUGGACUACGAUGAACAACGGAGCCACCAAGUUUGCUUGGACCAAUUUUCACAGCAACAUUAUCCGCAUCACCUUUGCUACUACCAGGUUGGGGACCAGCUUUCACACGUGGGCUACGCCUAUGUGUGCUGUCAGCAUUUCGAUCUGACAACUUCCUCUUCAAAACAGCUUUCUUCACCUUAACUCCAUCACGAUCAAAAGCUUGCGCCAACCGAGAUUGCAUCAAGUUUGUCUUCACAGGCAUGUCACUUCCAUGAGAUCCAUCAUGAACAGUUGAUAAACCCGCGUCACCACCUUCAUCGCAUACACAUUUAGGAGCUUGAGCAACAUCAACAUCACUUUCUAGCACACAGGCAGCCUUUUGACGCCGUUCCAAUUCCUUCCUCUACUGGAAUUCAUACUUCUUCUUUCUUAUCCUUUCAUCCUCGAGCUGCAACUGCAUAGGAACAUCCUCAGCUUGGGUUACAAGCUCAAUGCCAUCAACACUUUGAGACUGAGUAACAGACAACUGCAAGCUGCCAUCACCAUCAUCAACGUUUAGUGAAUACAUCCCAUCAUUAAUAUCUUUAACAACAUCAGAAAUGUCCUCUGGAACACCAUGGCUGUCAUUAACUGCAUAAACCAAUAACAUAACCACGCACAUAAAAAAUUAGAACACAAUUAACAUUGCAGACACAAACAUAAAUAAAACGCAUACCAUCAGACACAAACAAAAGGAACAACUAAUGAAACCAAGCAUAUAUAUGUAUUAAAGGCUGAUAAAAAAAGAGCAAAUAUAAGGGAAACACCAGCAACAUUCGCAAGUUCUUCUAGAGGAUUUGGUGUCUCAAAAAUAACAUUCACAAGAUCUUGAAAGCGUUCUGAAUUCUCAGAAUCAGGAGGCACCGGCACUCCAACAUCUGCAACAACAUCAUAAUUAGCAAAAAAGCACAAAAACAAUCAGUCAGUUGAACUAUGUGAACACUACAAGUUCACCCGAAUAAAACAAAAUAUGAACCCACCACUUGCAAAACAAAACUUCAGAAAACACAACUCUUUCACCACCAUACUAGUUCUUCACUGACUACUACAAUCUAUUCAAAAUGUGAGGACAGCAGUUCAAAAUACACGUGGUGAUAAGUACUACAAACUGUCUGCAGGUUGCGUCAACUGCCAAAACCAUACGCACCAUACAAUCCAGGACAAAAUUAACACAUAUCAAAAUACAUACAACUUAUAAAGUCGAUACGGCAAACAACUGUACACCCUAAAAACCAGAUAUGUUAAAACAUCAUCCAAAAUACAGGGAAAAUCACCUGCAUUCAAUUUGUCCGGACUGGAUGAUGUACCCAUUGAAAUCUACAGUCCUAAAAUCUGCCGAACCAGAUCUGCAAGACACAUGAACAACAAUUAGGGAUUUGAACUAUUUCAGAAAUGAAGCACGCCAUAGAAAAAGCAAAACUCUUACCAGCAAACACAAAAUCCGCCAUGCAAAUCCAGUAUCACUGCCGCCAAACGGUCGUUCAACAGCAAAGGAACCCUAGCGAGUGCAGCCUGGGAUAGCAAAGAGAGCAACAAAUUAGAAAUAGAGGGAAAAUAUGAACAUGAGAGGACGCAAGCAAAAGUCAAUGGCAGAGCAAAAAGAAAUGAAACAGAGCACCCGGACCUCCACCCCUGGGGUUGAACCCUCCGGCCGAUGCUCCCGCGGCGAAACAGGAGUAGCAACUCCCCCUUCGAGAAAAGAAGAGGGGAACAAAGACGGAGCCGAUUUGGGGAUGGGAGAGGAGCGGAACGGGGAAGAUCGGAGGUUAAAAGGUGAGUGGGAGGGUUAAAAGAUGAGUGCGAGAAAACGGACGGCUAAAUCCCACAACCGUGGCGAAGCCCACUAUCUCUGGCCAGUUACAAAAGAUAAUACCAAUAAUCAAAUACAAAAUAAAAAAUUAAUAUAGAUGGAGAAAACAAACGGCUAAAGUACAAAUUAUAACUCACAUCAGUACAGAAAAAAUUAUCAAAAAAGUACAAAUGAAAAAAUAAUUCAUAACGGUGCUGGUUAUUCCCCUAAAAAAUAAAGAUAAGAUAAUGGGGGCAAGUCAUGUUACGGACUCGCCUCCGCAUGCGACGCCGCGGCACGCCGCGUCGUUGCCUGCUACGGCUCGUUCCUAGCUCGGCCUCGCCGGGAUGGGGGAGGGCGGGCCCCGACCACACCUCCCCCANNNNNNNNNNNNNNNNNNNNNNNNNNNNNNNNNNNNNNNNNNNNNNNNNNNNNNNNNNNNNNNNNNNNNNNNNNNNNNNNNNNNNNNNNNNNNNNNNNNNNNNNNNNNNNNNNNNNNNNNNNNNNNNNNNNNNNNNNNNNNNNNNNNNNNNNNNNNNNNNNNNNNNNNNNNNNNNNNNNNNNNNNNNNNNNNNNNNNNNNNNNNNNNNNNNNNNNNNNNNNNNNNNNNNNNNNNNNNNNNNNNNNNNNNNNNNNNNNNNNNNNNNNNNNNNNNNNNNNNNNNNNNNNNNNNNNNNNNNNNNNNNNNNNNNNNNNNNNNNNNNNNNNNNNNNNNNNNNNNNNNNNNNNNNNNNNNNNNNNNNNNNNNNNNNNNNNNNNNNNNNNNNNNNNNNNNNNNNNNNNNNNNNNNNNNNNNNNNNNNNNNNNNNNNNNNNNNNNNNNNNNNNNNNNNNNNNNNNNNNNNNNNNNNNNNNNNNNNNNNNNNNNNNNNNNNNNNNNNNNNNNNNNNNNNNNNNNNNNNNNNNNNNNNNNNNNNNNNNNNNNNNNNNNNNNNNNNNNNNNNNNNNNNNNNNNNNNNNNNNNNNNNNNNNNNNNNNNNNNNNNNNNNNNNNNNNNNNNNNNNNNNNNNNNNNNNNNNNNNNNNNNNNNNNNNNNNNNNNNNNNNNNNNNNNNNNNNNNNNNNNNNNNNNNNNNNNNNNNNNNNNNNACGCACCCACACCCCUAAGAUAGAUAAAUGGGGCAAAGUCCAUACAAGGAAGAUGUGUCAGUACAACUAUGCCCCUUGGUACGGUUCGGUGCGGGGGCAAGUCACGACCCUCAGUACUAUAUAAAAACAAACAAAAAAGAAAAAGAAAAAGAAAAAAAAUUGACAGCCCAAGGACAAAAAAGUACCAGUCCAAGAUACUGGUAUAGUCUAGUGCUAGAUCCCAAAAACAACCAAAUAUGAAAAAAGUGACCGCCCAAUGACAAAAAAGUACCAAUCCAAGUUACUGGUCUAGUCAAGUACUAGAUAAAAAACAAACAAAAAAUAAAAAAAUUGAGCGCCCAAGGACAGGAGCAGGCCCACACACGCAUGGGCCUGCCGUCCAGGGCCCACUGGUCGACAAAGAGAUAGCGAGCGCCGUGUAUAACCGCUCUGGUAAGUGUUCAUAUGAGUUCGACUAGUGAGAGUCGGCUGCGCUUAUAAACAGGACCGAGCCCCUCGACUAGCCAGGUGGGACUAAACCCAGAGCGCACACGCACGCCGUGCUCCACAGCUGCGCGAGAGAAACUAUUCGGGCCGAAUACAACGACCCAGGUCGAUGGCCCAACAAAGUACUUCGCCCCAUAACAAAAAUCCAGUAGAUCACGCAUGACAAAAAAUAAAAAAUGAAGAUAAUUUUUUUAAAAAAAAACCCAGUUAAUAAACAAAAAUAUUGUAAAAAGUUCAAACACAUCUUAAUGGUAAGAACUAAUAUAUAUAUAUAUAUAUAUAUAUAUGAGACUGUAAAUAAAAAUUUCAGGAACGAAUUUACAAAAAAAUCAACUACUACAAUUCAAAAGGGUUCAAGUACAAAAUAAAAAUAAGUACUGAGCAGCGAAGAUUAAUUUUUUUUAUUUUAUGAAAUACUAAAACUAUCAUUGUUCAUCUAUUAAAAAAGGAAAAAACGUUCUCCAAAAUUCAUGUAAAAAAGUAAGGAAAAAAAUAUUAUACAACAAACAAAUUUGAUCGGUAAUUGACAAACUAAAAUAGAUCAGUACUCUCAUUAAAAGGAUGUAAGUUCAGCAAAACUCAAAUAACAAAAAAGCAGUUCUAAAAACUCAUCAGCGUAUAGCACCGUCUGCGAGUUAUGAACAUGAAAAAUAUAUCAGUCAAAACAAAGGAAGCCCAUCAGUUCAACUAUAGAAAUUGUUCCGUAACUAAUAUAAACAAUGUAACAAAAAAAUAGUUAUACUUGAGCAGAACAAUAGGAAUAACAUUACAUAACUAGUUCCAUACCAUUCUGAUAAUACCAUACAAUUCAACCAUCUCACAUGCAAAAUGUUUUAAAAGAAAAAAAAUACUGCAACAUAAUCAGCCACACACAAAAUCUCGCAAAACCGGCGUCAUUUGCCACAUUUAAACCUACAGCACAUAGAUUCUGAAUGUCAGAGAGUCGUCUUCUCUCGAGAACAUAACCAUAACCACAUCACCAUCCUCAAAUCUAGACUCAGCAACAAACUCCUUCCACCCAAUAGUUAGGUUGAUGCAACCAUCAAAGUCGAUGUGGUAGGCAACAUCCAUCAACUGAUACACAUUCUUGUCUGAAGUCUCCAUCUCCAGAACACCGGAUCUAGGAGCAACAAUCCUGAUCCUCGAUGACAUUUUCUGCAAAUGGGCAUGGGAGUACAAAACAAAAUGAACACCUGACAUAACUGAAUUUUUACACGGAUAUAGGAACGAUUUGCAUAACAAACUAAAAUGGAAAAAAUCUGAACCAAAACAAUAACACAAAACUAACUAGACAUGUGAACUGACUAAACUGAAGAAAUAUACAAAUCAAUACACCUACAGUAAAAACAUCUAUUCAUAAAUAGAUCAGGGAUUAUACAAAAAAAUGGUUAAAAUACUGUUAAGUAAUGAGCAAAUACACACAGAAAUCCAUACUGUUAAAAUCUCACAAAACCAAAUUUAAAAAAUAUAGACAAGCUAUUCAUUAGACAAAACUGCAGAUCCAGUCCAUGGGAUUCAAACAGAAACCAUCAAGAAAGUAGGAACCAAAAUGAAUAGAAACACAUACCCAUGAUUCCUUCAAGUCACCAUCCGUCAGGCGACAAACAUAGGGUGUAUGAAACCCAUGGUUGCUGUACAGCAAACAAGAAAGUUGCCCGCGCCGCUGAGUCUGAGUGAGCUCCAGUCCAGACUCGUACACACAGCCGUCAGCUAUGCGCACCAUCUUUGCCAGGCAUCCGCAUGAACAAUCCUCCAUGGAACACACAGGAACAGAGAAAAAGGCGACGAAGAGAAGAGAGAGGAACCUAGAUCUGAUUCUGAAGAAGGAAGAAAAGGGAGUGGGAAGACUUGGCCACACACCACACAUAAAUGGAUAGCGUUUAUAGUCAGGGACACUCGCAGAUUAUAAAAAUAAUAAAUAGGAAGAUGGGCAGCCAGCUGGUAGGAAAUAGUUAUUACACAAGCCAUGCAACAUUUGACCGCAAAUCAGUACAACUUCAGAAAAUCAAGCAGUUCAAAGGUGCACAUGUCGAACAUAUGCAGACAAAACAACACAUUCAGAGACAAAAACAAGUUCAGUUCAUUUAGUCAUUCGAACAUCUGCUCCCCCACAACAAAAAUCAUAAAAACAUAAUGUUCACUACUUCAGUCAUAACGAUCAAAGAAACAACGCCAUUUUGCCCUGGUGGAUGGAUGUGGAGCCGUGGCUGCUCUCGCCCUAGCCCAACUAAUGAUCUGAAUAUGGUUCCUUCCCCUGCCCUCUGGGAAAAGAAGAUCCAAUUCAUUGGAGUUGCAAGUAUCCAUCACCUCACUCGCAAGCCGUCUGUUGAACUCUGCCUCCAGUUCCUCCUCGGCAGCACGUCGCGCCAUCUGCCUGCGCCUGCGCCUCCUCCUUCUCUGCUCCGCUACUGCAGCCCUCACAUCUAUGGCGUCCCCCUCCUCCUCUGUGACCUCUCCCAGCUCAGAAUCCAUCCCCCCUUUUCUUUGGUUGCAGCUCGUAGAAUGAAACAGACAGAGGGCUCGGGCUUUAUAUCAAAGUGCAGAGCCAUCAGUGCGGCUCCAAUGUCAACACACAGUAAUAAAAACUUUGACACGCAGCAGUCCAACUACACAUACGGCAGCAAUUCAAAACAACACUGAAAAACACGCAAAUUAAUUACGUAGUUUGACCAGAUUACAAGAAAUCGCAUCUUACAGUCAGCCGCCAUACACCAACACCGCCAAAGACAAAAUAACAUGGGAAUCCGAGGUAGAAACAACUAAAAAAGCAAAAUUAACAAUGCAAAUCUUUUCAUACAAUCCUUAUAUCUCUCCCUGCAACGCCAAUUCGAAAGUAAAAAACAGAAAAAGAAGAGCAGAAUUCCAUGGCGGGCGUCGAAAACGAACAAGAACACCAAAACUUGUAAUCAUGAAUUACAGAGGAAAAUAAUCUCAAAAAACCAUAACAUACCGAUAAAUUCUCACAUAAAAAACGACAAACACGACAUAAUUUGAGGUCCGUGAACACCACAGUAAAACACUAACACCAAAAAACACAUCCGCCGCCAAAAUGACCACGUCGUCACCUCCGGUGACUACAAAUCGCAAAACACAUCCAGACGAGCGCGCGCACGUGCGGAACCCCUUUAUGUGUCUCCUCUAGCAACGAAUGGCCCGCAGCAACGCGCCAGAGAAUGGCCGAAAGCUCAACGUUGCAUCCCCUGUUUCUGUCCGUUGUGCACGCAGGAACAUCAGUUCUUGUUGAAAAACACGUCAGUCCAACCUGUGAACUACGUCAGUACAGAAAGGGUAACAGAACAAUAUUCUGUUACGCGUAACACAGUAGCCCAGAUGUGUGUGUGUGUGUGUGUGUGUGUGUGUGUGUGUAUACAGACGGUCUAUUCUGCUAAUAUUAGCAGAAUAACUAUUCUGCACACCACUUCCGCACUGCAUGCUGAACGCAAGUGCACUGCAUCUUCUUGACGACGAGCACUGCAAUAGAGACUAGUGAACUUCUCGUUGGAAAAAACUAUAUGCGUUAUUUUUUCGGUACUGUUUUCGCUCUAAUUUUUUAACCGUUUAUCGGAAUGAGGCGUGUAAUAUACCGUUGAAAAGCUAUGGAUUAGGCGCAACUUCGACAUGUUGAACACUUUUCGAGAUUCCACGCGGUUUAAGAGCAGUUUGAAAAUGGUGCGACGGAUGAUGAGUGGCAGUGAACGUUUUUUCGCGUUUUUUCUAAACCGCUUGUCGGAAUGAAGCAAAUGAUAUGCCGUUGGAUAGAUAUCGUCGAGGCGCAUCUUUUUCAUAUAUAUAUCUUUCUCUAAUUCGUUACGGUUGAAGAGCAGUUUCAAAUUUACUAAAUCGCGGAACUCUGUUUUUUCAAAUUUUUUGAAAUUUUCGGUACUGUUUUCGCUCCAGUUUUCUAAUUGUUUGUCGAAAUGAGACGUAUGAUACGUCGUUGGAAAGCUAUGGACAAGGCGCAACUGUCGUAUGUUGAAAUGUUUUUGAGAUUCCUUACAGUUUUUAGUUAAUUUUGAAAAUCGUGCGGCUGACAUCGAGAGGCAGCGGCUGUUUUUUCGCGAAAUUUUUCCAAACGGCUGGUUAGAAUGAUUCAAAUCAUACGCCGUUGGAAAGAUACCGACGAGACGCAACUUUUUCAUGUAGAACACUCUCUCUAAUUCCUUACGGUUUAAGAGCAGUUUCGAUUUUACCGAAAAGCGGACACUCUGUUCUUCGCGAGACCAAAAUCGUCGUAUGUACUGCAUCGGACAGAAGAACGCAUUGCUUCAGACAAAAUACCGCACUGCAUCAGAUGAGCAAGUGCACUGCAUGGUUUCUUUUUAUUUAAACGUAUUUUUUCUCGGACGACGAAAGAAGAAAGCACUGCUUCAGACGAAAUACCGCACUUCAUCAGAAGACAAGUGCACUGCAUGAUUUCUUUUUGUGGGACGUAAAUUUUCCCAUACGAGUUUUUGUUUUUGUUGUCUUUUUUUCAACUUUCUUUUAUGAAUGAGAGUGGACCUCAAAGACAAGGGCAAGUGUGCCGCGACAUAUAUCAAAGUGAACCGCGUUAUCAUCUUGUUGUUUCGCUAUUUUUUUGCAUUUUCAUGUUGGGGACAAGUGAACAAUAUCACUCUCAAAAGUGGACCACAUCUGAGGACCAAACGCACUUCAAAAUGAACCACACAUAUUUUUUGUUUUCUUUUUUGUUCUAGAAAUUCUUCUGCACUUCGAGGAUGAGGCGAGUGGACCGCUGGGACAAGAAAGUGAACCAUACCGUUUUUUGCUUGUUUUUGUUUUUUUAUCCACCACCGUGUGUACCCUGAAAUUUUAACAUUUGGAGUGAGCUGCAAUAAACUGCCCUGUGCCGUAGGCAAGUAAAACCAAAGUGAGCUGCUAGGGGAAACUGAAGUGAGCUGCAAACCAAAGUUCUCCGCCACCGCGUGUACCCUGAAGCCAAAGUUCUUUUUUCCAGAGCAGCAAAGGAGAACUCUGGAGUGAACCACCAAGUUUCUUAUCGAAUAGUAUUUUUUAAAACUUACCAAACACAACCCUAUAAAUUUACAUAAAACCCACUCAAAACAAAAUGAAAAAUAAAUCAAAGCCGUAUGUCCUGGGUCUAGUUGAUUUGACCCUGCCAGCACCAAACGAACUGCGAGCGUGACGAUGGUUAGCAGCCCGCCCGCGAUACAGAACAGCUUGCCAAUGAACUGAACAAACAUCACGCCAUGAGCUGCAUGCACACACAGGACACCCUGACCAGCAUACACACACCAGCCGAACCUCAUCUUUGAUCAAGCUAACUGCACCAAAGCACCUAUUGGCAAGGAAGGGAAAAUACCAAGCUGCAAUGGGGCACAGCCGAACCGCACGACUAUGACAUUCAUAGGCAGAAAUGCCACCGCGACUCCCCUGCUGCUCCCGUUGAAGUAGUUCACACCACCGUCCUUCUCUAUCCUGACAAGUGAACAGCAAGAAAGAGGUGGCUGAAGAAGGGAACCGCACAUCUACAACAAAUAAACUACAGAAAAAUUCAAAAAGUACUGCAUAACCUGCUCCGGCGUACUGCACGGUUGGGCUCGUCCCACAUGUGACCAUCGACGGUCGUCAGAUGCAGCCUGCACGCCUGCAAUUUUUUUUUCGCCCACCCGUUGAAGGUGGAGAGCCAGAGAGAGGCCAGGCAGACGAACGGCAGCGCGGUGGCUGUUGAUCUCAGCCGGGAUCGGAGAAGACGCCCCCUGGAGUAGUGUGACCACCAUGGAACUGCUGGCUCCUGUUGGAUGGAUGUUGCACAAGACGACCCCGUCGCGCGGGAUCCCUGUAUUUGCAAACCUCCCCAUGCCGCCAAUGAUCCGCGCCGCCGGCAUCUUCGUCGAUGAGCCGCGAUCCACCAAAAGCGUCGAAGCUAGAUCCAGCCAUGGCAGAGGCAGAUCCAGGAAACGGUGGGGGAGGAAGGUUAGGGAAGGGAAGGCACCAGACUUGUGCUCGCCGGUGUUAGGAGGUAGUACCAGGAGUGGUGGGGUGGGUGUCGGCUUGCGAGGUGGAGGGAUGGCGCGCCACGGGGAGAAGGAGGCAGGGGCGCUGGGAGGGCGCGACGGCCGGCAAGGUGGUGUGGUUGGAGGUGAGAGGCGACGUGCCGGCGUGAGCCCGGGAUGGCGGCGGGGUGGGAAGGCAGGUGGUGCGGCGGUCGGAGGGGAGGCACGUGUCCGGGGAAGAAGUGAAGAGGGGAGGGAGGGAGGGAAGCUGCAGGGGAAGGAGGCCGGAGGGCACCGGGCACGCGGCCGGCGGCGAGGCCCUUGGCCCCCGGUGGGAGAAGGUAGGGGGUCGGGGAAGGUGAGAUCAGAGUGGCCUGGGGCGACCUCCACGCGUCCGGGGAAGAAGGAAAGAGAGGAGGAAGCCGGCGGCGCCGAGGGAAGUAGACUGGAUGGGGGUGGCGCUGGGGAAGGAGAUCAGAGGCAGGAGCUGGGAACGCUGCCGGCGGCGCGACCCUCGGCCCCCGGCGGAAAAAGCUACUAGGUCGGGGGAAGAAGGUGCGAGAGAGAUGGGUGGUCGUGCUAGCAGCCAUGGGGAUUUUUUAUUUUGUAGCUGCGGUUCAUUUGGGGUGGGUAGGGUGGUCGGUUUGGUGCUUUUAGCGGUGCUCAAGUGUUAGCAGAAUAAGAAAGUGGUGUGCAUAAUAAGGUCUUAAGGGGUGUUAUCAUAAUAGACCCACCCUAUAUAUAUAUAUACACACACACAUCUGGGCUAUUCUGUUACGCGUAACAGAAUAUUAUUCUGUUACCCGUUUUGAACUGAUGGUUUCAGGUGGUUGUACUGAUGUUUUCGAAGCAGUUGAACUGAUGUUUUUAGUUGUGUUAAACAGACCAUCUUCUUUAGUUCAAAAACUUUUUGUAAUUUUUUUGUCGUAAUAGGGCGUGUAAUAUAUCAUUGGAAAGCUCUUGACAACCAUAUUUCAAAUAUAUUGAACGUUUUUGCCAAAUCAUUAUGGUUUAAGAGCAGUUUUGAAAAAACCGUUUUUUAAAAACCGAAAACGUGAAUCGUAUUUUGGACUCAAUUUUCAAAAGGUUUGUCGGAAUUGAGCAAAUAAGAUGGCGUUGAAAAGCUGGUGAAAAUCCGCAUCUUCCAUAUAUGUAUCGUUUUUUCUAAUUCUAUAUGAUUUAAAAGUAAUUUGAAAAACGGUGAAAUUCUGGGCGAAACGUAUUUUCGCAAUUUUUUGCAAACGGUUUAUCGGAUUGACGCAAAUAAUACGGCGUUGGAAAGCUAUGGAAAAUGUGCAACGUUUUUGUAUUGAAAUGUUUUUAUAAUUCUUUACGGUUUAAAAAUGAAUUCGAAUACGGUCAAAUUUGAUUUUGAACGCGAUUUUUUUAAAAGUUUGUCGAAAUAGGGCAAAUAAUAUACCGUUGGAUAGCUAUCGAAAAUGAAAAACUUAGUCAGUUGAACAUUUUUUCAUAUUUGCAGUCGUUGAAGAGUAAUUUGGAUUACGGUGAGACCCAUCAUGGUGUUUUUCCUUAAAAAAACAGAGUACUCGUACUGAUAUAUUUGUGUGUUUGUACUGAGGUAUUUUUCAUUGUAGUUUUGAAUGGUUCCAAAAAAAGUACUUGAAUGGAUGUCUAUAUGAUUUUGUACUAGCGUGUUUCCACAUACUAGACUUUACUUUGUAUUUAUUUAAAAAGUUUUCAAUAUGGCAAGACACAUCCUGUUGUUUUCCCGUCUGAUAAACAAAGUACUUGUACUGACAUAUGUGUGUGUUUGUACUGAGCUAUUUUUCACAAUCUGGAAUGUUCAGGGGGUUGAUCACUUGAACUUGUAGAAAUGUAACUUUUAGGUUUAGUUUAAAAUGUGUUUCGACGUGUCAUCAUCAUCGAACUUGCAUGGUUUAUAUACUUGAAUUGGCUGAUUUUUUUUCUCCAAGAAAUGUUUUUGUGUUUUGUGAUAGCAACCAUUGAUGCAACAAUCCUAUACCGAAUUUGAUAUGCCCUUUGAACUGACUAUAAAAUACAUACUGAGCUGUUGGACAUAUGGUAACGCGUGAAAACAAUUACAUAAUCAUCCACAGGUUGUACAUGUUGCAAACAAUUAUCAAAUGCUAAGCUACAGUCUGUACACUUUUUUUUGAAAUCAACAUUUUUUUGACAAUGAUGUUCUGAACUUCUCUCAUUCUACGACUUGUACUGAGGUACUUACUAAGCAGGAUUUUCAUGGGGUUCCUUUUUUUGCUUGAAAUUUUACAGUUUGAAUUUCGGCCAUUUCUUUUAUUCCGAACGGACCACCGCUUUUUUAACUCGUACCGAGGUACUUACUACGCCCGAACUGGGGUGGCUGUCGCGUGUCUCGGCGAGGAAAAGGACGAAGCUCGGGGGCGCGGCUGGAUUCGGCCGGUAGGAUGCUGUGCAAGGCGGGGGGUGACAGGCGCAGGGCGGCGGGGCUCGGAGUGGCAGCGCACGGCGGAGGGGCUCGGGGGUAGCGGCGCGGGGCGGGGAUGGUGGUGCGCGGCAGCGGAGGGAGGCUGGGACGACGCGCGACAGCGGAGGGAGGCUGGGACGGUGCGCAGCAGCCGCCAGAGGCGGGGACGGGCCGCGGCAGCCACCUGAGGNNNNNNNNNNNNNNNNNNNNNNNNNNNNNNNNNNNNNNNNNNNNNNNNNNNNNNNNNNNNNNNNNNNNNNNNNNNNNNNNNNNNNNNNNNNNNNNNNNNNNNNNNNNNNNNNNNNNNNNNNNNNNNNNNNNNNNNNNNNNNNNNNNNNNNNNNNNNNNNNNNNNNNNNNNNNNNNNNNNNNNNNNNNNNNNNNNNNNNNNNNNNNNNNNNNNNNNNNNNNNNNNNNNNNNNNNNNNNNNNNNNNNNNNNNNNNNNNNNNNNNNNNNNNNNNNNNNNNNNNNNNNNNNNNNNNNNNNNNNNNNNNNNNNNNNNNNNNNNNNNNNNNNNNNNNNNNNNNNNNNNNNNNNNNNNNNNNNNNNNNNNNNNNNNNNNGGGCUCCCUUGCUCCGGCUGCCGCCGUCGCUCACUCACCCCCGACGGCUUCCUCCGGCGGUAGAAGGCGGGUUGGAUUGGGGGCGGGUCAGCGAGUUUCUACAGUGAUCUGCGCAUCGCGCCCUUAUAGGGACAGAGGGUAACAGAAUAGUAUUCUGUUAUCGGUAACAAAAUAGUCCAGCCCUAUAUAUAUAUAUAUAUAUAUAUAUAUAUAUAUAUAUAUAUAUAUAUCCAAUUGGAUGUAAGUUAGCAUGAAGUAUUAUUGUUGACAUUACCCUUGAGGUAAAACGUUGGGAGGCAAUAUUAUAAGCCCCUAUCUUUCUCUGUGUCUGAUUAAAACUCCAUAACCAUAAGUAUUGCGUGAGUGUUAGCAAUUGUAGAAGACUAAAUGAUAGUUGAGUAUGUGGACUUGCUGAAAAGCUCUAUUGUUGACUCUUUCCGAUGUUAUGAUAAAUUGCAAUUGCUUCAAUGACUGAGAUUAUAGUUUGUUAGUUCUCAAUGAAGUUUCUGAACCAUACUUGACAUUGUGAAUAGAUUGUUACUUGAGCAUAAGAAAUCAUAUGACAAAUUAUAUGUAUGUUGCUGUUAUAAGAAUGAUCAUGAUGCCCUCAUGUCCGCAUUUUUUUAUCGACACCUCUAUCUCUAAACAUGUGGACAUAUUUUUCGGUUUCGGCUUCCGCUUGAGGACAAGCGAGGUCUAAGCUUGGGUGAGUUGAUACGUCCAUUUUGCAUCAUGCUUUUAUAUCGAUAUUUAUUGCAUUAUGGGCUGUUAUUACACGUUAUGUCACAAUACUUAUGGCUAUUCUCUCUUAUUUUACAAGGUUUACAUAAAGAGGAAGAAUGCCGGCAGCUGGGAUUCUGGGCUGGAAAAGGAGCAAAUAUUGGAAACCUAUUCUGCACAGCUCCAAAAGUCCUGAAACUCCACGAAAGUCAUUUUUGGAAUUAAUAACAAUUAUUGAGCGAAAUAAGUACCAGAGGGGACCCACACCCUGGCAACAAGGGUGGGGGGCGCGUCCACCUUUACAGGGCGCGCCCCCCGCCUCGUGGGCCCCCUGGCGACCCCCUGGUGCCCAUCUUCUGCUAUAUGAAGUCUUUUACCCUGAAAAAAAAUCAUAAGCAAGCUUACGGGAUGAAACUCCACUACCACGAGGCGGAACCUUGGCGGAACCAAUCUAGGGCUUCGGCGGAGCUGUUCUGCCGGGGAAAUAUCCCUCCGGGAGGGGGAAAUCAUCGCCAUUGUCAUCACCAUCAAUCCUCUCAUUGGGAGGGGGUCAAUCUCCAUCAACAUCUUCAUCAGCACCAUCUCCUCUCAAACCCUAGUUCAUCUCUUGUAUCCAAUCUUUGUACCGAAACCUCAGAUUGGUACCUGUGGGUUGCUAGUAGUGUUGAUUACUCCUUUUAGUUGAUGCUAGUUGGUUUAUUUGGUGGAAGAUCAUAUGUUCAGAUCCUUAAUGCAUAUUAAUACCCCUCUGAUUAUGAACAUGAAUAUGCUUUGUGAGUAGUUACGUUUGUUCCUGAGGACAUGGGUGAAGUCUUGCUAUUAGUAGUCAUGUGAAUUUGGUAUUUGUUUGAUAUUUUGAUGAGAUGUAUGUUGUCUCUCCUCUAGUGGUGUUAUGUGAACGUCGUACAUGACACUUAACCAUUGUUUGGGCCUAGAGGAAGGCAUUGGGAAGUAAUAAGUAGAUGAUGGGUUGCUAGAGUGACAGAAGCUUAAACCCUAGUUUAUGCGUUGCUUCGUAAGGGGCUGAUUUGGAUCCACUUGUUUCAUGCUAUGGUUAGGUUUACCUUAAUACUUCUUUUGUAGUUGCGGAUGCUUGCAAUAGGAAAUAAUCAUAAGUGGGAUGCUUGUCCAAGAAAGGGAAGUACCCAAGCAGCGGUCCACCCACAUAUCGAAUUAUCAAAGUAACGAACGUGAAUCAUAUGAGCGUGAUGAAAACUAGCUUGACGAUAAUUCUCAUGUGUCCUCGGGAGUGCUUUUCUCAUUAUAAGAACUUGUCCGGGCUUGUCCUUUGCUACAAAAAGGAUUGGGCCACCUUGCUGCACCUCAUUUACUUUCAUUGCUUGUUACCCGUUACAAAUUAUGUUAUCACAAAACUAUCUGUUACCUACAAUUUCAGUGCUUGCAGAGAAUACAUUACUAAAAACCGCUUGUCAUUUCCUUCUGCUCCUCGUUGGGUUCGACACUCUUACUUAUCAAAAGGACUACGAUAGAUCCCCUACACUUGUGGGUCAUCAUUGGCAACAAUACAAUACGUGCCUUGCUGCCCCUGUUGUCACUGGGAAAGGACACCGCAAGAUUGAACCCAAAGCUAAGCACUUCUCCCAUUGCAAGAAAGAUCAAUCUAGUAGGCCAAACCAAAUUGAUAAUUCGAAGAGACUUGCAAAGAUAACAAAUCAUACAUAAAAUAAUUCAGAGGACAUUCAAAUAUUGUUCAUAGAUAAUCUUGAUCAUAAACCCACAAUUCAUCGGAUCUCGACAAACACGCCGCAAAAAGAAUUACAUCGAAUAGAUCUCCAAGAAGAUCAAGGAGAACUUUUUGUUGAGAAUCAAAAACAGAGAAUAAGCCAUCUAGCUAAUAACUAUGGACCCGAAGGUCUGUGGUAAGCUACUCACACAUCAUCGGAGAGGCCAUGGUGUUGAUGUAGAAGCCCUCCAUGAUCGAUUCCCCCUCCGGCGUAGCGCCAGAAAAGGCCCCAAGAUGGGAUCUCACGGGUAUAGAAGGUUGUGGCAGUGGAAAUAGGGUUUCGUGGUGCUCUUGGAUGUUUUCAGGGUAUAUGGAUAUAUAUAGGCGAAGGAAGUCGGUCACGGGAGCCACGAGGGGCCCACAAGGGUGGGGGCGUGCCUACCCCCUGGGCGUGCCUCCCUGCCUCGUGGCCGCCUUGUUUCUUUCUUGACGUCCACUCCAAGUCUCCUGGAUUGCGUUUGUUCCAAAAAAUAACUCUCCCGAAGGUUUCAUUCCAUUUGGACUCCGUUUGAUAUUCCUUUUCUGUGAAACACUGAAAUAGGCAAAAAACAGCAAUUUGGGCUGGGCCUCCGGUUAAUAGGUUAGUCCCAAAAAUAAUAUAAAAGUGCAUAAUAAAGCCCAUUAAACAUCCAAAACAGAUAAUAUAAUAGCAUGGAACAAUCAAAAAAUAUAGAUACAUUGGAGACGUAUCAAUGCUGUGUGGGACACCAUAACGGUGUACGACACCAGAUAUGAAAUCUACCACUGGCCCGGCUUCGGCCGUUUUAACUAGUUUGGCCCCUAUCCACUUAGUUAAUUUAUCUACCAUGACCAACAUAUAUUUUUUCUUAUGGCUUCCCCCUUUAAGGGGUCCGACAAUGUCAAGCCCCUAGACCACAAAAGGCCAAGUAAUGGGGAUUGUUUGUAGGGUGGUAGGCAGCAUAUGGCUUUGAUUGGCGAAAAGUUGGCAUCCUACACAAUGCUGGACGAGGUCUUGCACGUCUUCUUGGGCCGUAGGCAAAAAAAAACGGGUUUGGAAGGCCUUACUUACAAGGGCCCAAGCUGCAGCAUGAUGACCGCUAGGACCAGCAUGGAUUUCGGCCAAGAGUUGCCGCCCCUCUUCUUUGGAGAUACACCUUUGAAGGACUUCGGUAUUACUUUUCUUAUAGAGCUCUCCUUCAUGAACCUUGUAGGCUUUUGUGCGUCGAAUGAUGCAUCGAGCCUCAUUCUGGUCCUCAAGGAGCUCUCACCUAUUGAGAUAGGCCAGGAAGGAUUCGGUCCAUGGUGCGAUUACUGCCAUGAUUACAUGAUCCGAUGGUGUUAUUAUGGUGGCCGAGCCCCCGAUGAUAUCGGGAUUGUGUUCGGGAUCUGGGGGUAUGAUUGGAUCUGGACUCGCAUUGCUACUCUCGUCUUGCCAUACCACGGAUGGCUUGAAUAGCUUUUCCACGAAGGUGUUAGGUGCGACAGGGUCGCGCUUAGCGCCCAUGCGAGCAAGGAUGUCCGCUGCCUGAUUACUCUCUCGGGCCACGUGAUGAAACUCAAGCCCCUCAAACCAAGCUGAUAUUUUACGUACGGUGUUGCGGUAAACCGCCAUCUUUGGAUCUUUGGCAUCAAAUUCUCCAUUUAUUUGGGAUAUUGCGAGGUUUGAAUCCUCGCGCACCUCGAGGUGUUGUAUGCCCAUAGAUACAGCCAUCCGAAGACCAUGCAAUAAGGCCUCAUAUUCGGCUGCGUUAUUAGAGUCUGUAUACUGUAUUUGGAGCACAUAACGGAUUCUAUCUCCUGUGGGGGAUGUCAGGACGACGCCAGCCCCAAGUACGGCUAGCAUUUUAGAGCCAUCGAAGUGCAUCACCCAGUUGGAAUAUGUGCCAUACUCUUUAGGGAGUUUGGCUUCCGUCCAUUCGGCGAUGAAGUCAGCCAACACCUGAGAUUUAGUGGCUCGGCAUGGCUUAUAUGUUAUUUCAAAUGGUAAGAGCUCAAUAGCCCAUUUGGCAAUCCCACCGGUGGCGUCCCGGUUGUUUAUGAUAUCAUUAAGUGGUACCUCGGAAGCCACCGUGAUCGAACACUCUCGAAAGUAGUGCCGCAGCUUCCGGGAUGCCAUGAAGACUGCAUAUGCUAUCUUUUGAUAAUGCGGGUAUCGGGAUUUACAUGGUGUGAGGACCUUCGACACAUAGUAUACUGGUUUUUGCAGUGGGAAUUUAUGUCCCUCUUCCUCUCGUUCGACGACGAGCACCGCACUCACCACGUGAUGUGUUGCAGAUAUGUAUAGUAACAUGGGUUCACCGACGUUUGGCGCAGCCAGGAUUGGGUUGCAUGCUAACAAAGCUUUUAUUUAUUCCAGUCCGGCUGUUGCAGCAUCUGCCCACGCAAAGUGGUCGGUGCGUCGGAGCAGGCGAUACAAUGGCAGCACCUUUUCUCCUAAUCUGGAGAUGAGGCAUCUCAAAGCUGCUACUCAUCCGGCUAGUUUUUGGACCUGUUUGAGGUCUGUUGGUGUGGCCAACUAUUACAGGGCUCGGAUUUUGGCUGGCUUUGCUUCGGUUCCCCUAUUGGAAACGAUGAACCCAAGCAAUUUUCCUGCGGGAAUGCCGAAAACGCACUUUUCUGGAUUGAUCUGUAUGUCAUAUCUUCAGAGGUUGUCGAAAAUAAGGCAUAAAUCAUCCACCAAUGAUUCGACAUGCUUAGUUUUGAUGACUACAUCAUCUACAUAUGCCUCGACUGUCUUGCCGAUUUGCUUUUGCAAGCAUGUUUGAAUCAUGCAUUGGUAUGUGGCGCCAACGUUUUUGAGCCCAAGGGCAUGGUGUUGAAGCAGAAGGGGCCAUAUGGGGUGAUGAAUGUCGUGGCGGCUUGGUCGGAUUCCUUCAUCUUGAUUUGAUGGUAUCCGGAGUAUGCGUCGAGGAAGCACAGUGAGUCGUGUCCUGUAGUGGCAUCAAUAAUCUGGUCGAUGCAAGGUAGUGGGAAGGGAUCCUUAGGGCAGGCUUUAUUAAGGUCCUUGAAGUCGAACACACAAGCGCCAGGAUUUAUUCUUCUUCGGCACCAUGACCAGAUUUGCUAGCCAAUCUGGAUGUUUGAUCUCUCUGAUAAAUCCGGCUUCGAGUAGCUUGGCUAACUCCUCACCCAUAGCCCGUCGGUUGGGUUCGAAAAAUCACCGCAGUGUUUGCUUGACUGGUUUGUAUCCCUUCAGUAUGUUGAGACUAUGUUCGGCCAGCGCGAGUGGGAUUCCCGGCAUGUCCGAGGGGUGCCAGGCAAAGAUGUCCCAGUUCUUGCGCAAGAACGUGCGUAAUGCGGCGUCGACCGCCGGAUCCAGCUAUGCCCCAAUGGAAGUUGUCUUCUUGGGGUCCGUCGGAUGAACUUGAAAUUUGACUAUCUCGUCUGCUGGCUUGAAAGAAGUGGAUUUGGGCCUUUUUAUCAAGAAUUACAUCGUCUCUAUCCACUGUGGAACGCAGAGCGGUAAGCUCCUCGGCCGCCAGGGCUUCGGACAGUGCCUCAAGGUCCAGGGAUGCGGUUUUGUUUUCGGCGCGGAGUGCUAUGUCCGGAUCACUGGAGAUAGUGAUGACGCCGUUGGGCCCGGGCAUUUUGAGCUUCAUGUACCCGUAAUGAGGUAUGGCUUGAAAGCGUGUGAAUGCAUCUCACCCUAACAGGGCAUGAUAUCCGUUGUUGAAAGGGGCCAUCUGGAAGAUUAUCUCUUUAGACCUAUAGUUCUCUGGCGUGCCGAAUACCACAUAUAAUUUAAUUUUCCCUGAGCAUCUUGCUUCCCGACUGGGGAUGAUUCCUUGAAAGGAUGUAUUGCUUUGCUUAAUGCGACUCCUGUCCAUUUGCAUUUUAUUGAGCGUGUCUUCGUAGAUGAGAUUCAGUCUGCUGCCGCUGUCCAUGAGCACUUUAGUGAGGCGAAAGCCAUCCACAAUUGGGUUUAGAUCCAAAUGGUUGGUGCGUGGACUGAUUGGGCCCUUGGCUCAUCAUUAGCCUUGAAGGUUAUCGCCAUGUCAUUCCAUGGAUUUAUUGCAGCUACAUGAUUGACUUCGGCGAGGUCGCGGAGCACCCUUUUGCGUCGGUUGUUUGAAGAAAAGGUCUCGAAGACCAUAAACACAUUAAGGUCAUUAUCCUAGGGGGAAUACCUUGUAGGAGUAGUGUUGGUGAGGAUGGCCUUCCCGCUUUUAGCCACGUGCCGAAGUAUCCAACAUGCCUGAAGGUUAUGAGUUGGCUCAAAAUUUGGCAUCGCGUGUAUCUGACAGGGCUUGUCGAGCCAUCCAUCAAGGACGACUUUGUGUGCCGUAAGGGCUGAAUUUUUCUUUCCGUGGAAGAAUGAUCAGGUGCCCCGUAAGGGUGCAUCCUUUUUGUUCGGCCGGUGGGUGUCUUAAAGGCUGGUGGCUCCCACCAAGCUGUAUGGGCUUUCCAAGCGCUUUCCAUUGUGCAAUACUUCUAUACUAUGUGUGCCAAAUCUGCAAAGUGCGGAACGUGGCAUCGAUUGAGGGUGUUGAUGAUGCCCUCGUCCAUACAGUUGCGGCAAAAUACUGAUACCGCAUCGUCAUCGCAUCAAUCUGUGAUCUUGUUUUUAACAUGUAGGAAUCUAGCCCAAAAGUGAUGGACUGUUUCUAGAGGUUGCUGUCGUAUAUACAUUAAAUUGCAUAGAUCCGGGGGAUCGGAAUUGGUUGGAGAGUAUUGAUUGUGGUGGGUGGGUGGGCUUGAAUCCAAACCCUGACCCACUGUGGAAUUCGGAUUUUGAAAAAUUUCUGAGGUCAUUGGCCCAGGGUCCGGAGUGUCCGGGGGGUUUUUAGACUCAGUGCCGGAUUCUAUGUUCGGGAGAGAGAUGAUCCCUUCUCGGAGAUGAGUGUCCGGCUCAUAGGGCUCGGAGAUCCAAACAUAGUUUGUUUUUAGCAUAGGAGGAGUGGUAUCCUCAACUUGCUCUUCCACAAUAGUCACCAGGUGGGUGACAUGUGGAGACCUGAUUUCCCUCUGAUCGGGUUUAAGCCCAAAGAUCGUAAUCUGUUGCGACCCCAAGGGCAGCGAUGCGAUCUAGCAGUUUGUUUAAAGACGAAACAUCUGUCGGGUCCAUCUUAUCAACACCUUCGGGGUUGACGCGGAGAUGAUUUUUGGCAGUCCGGGGGACCGCCUUGGGCUUAAUGGCUGGACGGGCGCUUAUGGUGAAAUUGCUGAUCUAGAGGAUCUACCCAGGAACUAGGGCUCUUCCAUAGGUGAUUUUGUCAUUGACGACAAGGCGAGCCAUCGAUCCCUCUAUCAACAACACGAAGGAACUCUCAAUGAAAGCACCAAUGUCGGUGUCAAAACCGGCAGAUCUCGGUAGGGGGUCCUGAACUGUGCGUCUGAGGAUCGAAGGUAACAUGAGGUAGGGGACAUGAUGUUUACCCAGGUUCGGGCCCUCUUUAUGGAGGCAAUACCCUACUUCAUGCUUGAUUGACUUUGAUGAGUAUAGGGGUUACAAGAGUUGAUCUACCUCGAGAUCGUGGUGGCUAAACCCUAGAUGUCUAGCCUGUAUGAUUAUGAUUGCCUCUACGGACUAAACCCUCCGGUUUAUAUAGACACCGGAGGGGGCUAGGGUCAUACAGAGUCAGUUUACAGAGAAAUGAAUCUUCAUAUCUGAAUGCCAAGCUUGCCUUCCAUGCCAAGGAGAGUUCCAUCCGGACACGAGAGAAGGUCCUCGAUCUUGUAUCUUCACGGCCCACCAAUCCGGCCCACAUCAUACAGCCCGGAUCCCCAAGGACCCCCUAGUACAUGACUCCCUCAUGCACCCCCGAGAACGAGGUUCUUAACUUUAAACAAAGGGGAGGGGAGAAUUUAAAAGAUGCUUGGUAUAGGAUUUGCAAUGCUCAUAAUAUAUCUAUUCGUAAGCACUCUACCAUUGUUCUUCUUCGUUGUUUUUAUGUGGGCAUCACUACUUGGUAUAGAUUCGUCCUUGAUACAAUUACUGGUGGGAAGUUCUUGAUGUGUCCUUCUCUAGAUGCUUUUAAUGCUAUGGGAAAUCUUGUGGGAUCACCACCUCUUUUGGUUAAUGAAACAACUUUAACUCUCGAGCAUGUUAUGAAAAGGCUAGACGCUAUUGAAAAGAAAAAGCUUAUCGAAGAACACAUUGAGAACUUGGAUAAAAAGAUGCAUAAUCUUGCUAGUAAAAUUGGGUCAAAAGCGAGAAAGGUUCUUAAGUGGUUAAAAGAAAAGGGGACCGUAAUUCAUGAAAGAAAUUAAGAAAGCCUGUCUCAGAUUGAUAAACUGGAAGAAAUUUUUAGUAAUCUAAGCAUGGCUUUUGCUUCCGCUAAAACUAUUGAAUAAACUCCUGUAAAAAUUAGCAAGAUUACUCAAGUUACUAAGAACAAGGGUGCAACUUCUAGUAAUAAUAAUAAAGGAGACCUUAAGAAGAUUAGUAUUCACCCCAAUUUUAUUGAAGUAGUAAGAGACCCUACCGGCAAGAAUGAAUUUCUCAUACUUGUUCCUAGAAGUAUUGUUAUUGAAAAUUUAUAUGCUAAAUUUUUGAAGAAUUCUAAGUGUUUGAUUGAAGAGUUGGAAAAUGAAGAUGAAAACACCUAUAUCUAUGCAUUAUGCCUAGCUAGGGGCAUAAAACGAUAGCGCUUGUUGGGAGGCAACCCAAUGAAUAUAUUUUUUGUCUUUUUGUUUCUGUUCUUGAGUGUUUGCACAAUUAUGCUACUGUUAUGAUUGUCUUUUUUAUGUCUUAAUUAGUGUUUGUGCCAAGCAAAGCCUUUGGGAUCAUGUUGGGUGAUACUUGAUUUGAUCUUAUUGAAAUUAGAAACUCCUACGUCCAGUAAAACAAUUUUGAAAAUUCACAGAAGCGUGAUAAAAUUCUGAUUUUUUUACACAAGACGUUGUCCUAUGUUUUCAGGGUUUUUGUAGUUAUAGAAGUAUUCGAAGUUUUCAAAUUGCUACAGACUGUUCUGUUUUUGACAGAUUCUGUUUUCUUUGUGUUGUGUGCUUAUUUCGAUGAGUCUAUGGUCUAUAUUGGAGGGUAUAAGCUAUAGUAAAGUUGGAAUAUAGUAGAUAUGAUGCAAAAUAAAAUAAAAUAUGAAUGGGUUUGCAAUAGUACUUACAGUAUUGAUUUGUUUUGUUAUACAAACAUAUCUCAUUAAGGUUUUGUUGAGUUUUGUGUGAUUGAAGUUUUCAAGUUUUGGGUUAGAUCAUGAUGGAUGAAGGAAUAAGGAGUAAGAAGAGCCUAAGCUUGGGGAUGCCCAUGACAUCCCAAGCCAUUAUCUAAAACAAAAGCAAGCAACUAAGCUUUGGGAUGCCUGAGAGGCAUCCCCUCUUUCUUCUAACAACCAUCGGUAUUUUACUUGGAGCUAUAUUUUUAUUCUUCACAUAUCAUGAGUUUUGCUUGGAGCAUCUUGUAUGAUAUGAGUCUUUGCUUGUUUUGCUUUUUAUUUUAAUUCAAGUAUCCUUGCUGGACACACCUAUUUGAGAGAGCCAAAAUUAUGCUAUGAUUUGUUAGAAUUGCUCUCUAUGCUUGUAAGGGCAUAUUUAUCCCUUGGUAGUUUUGGUGAUUGAUGACAAUGCUUUUGCGGACUAAUUGUGUGCAGUGAGCAUUUCAGAUAUACCAUGUCUAAGCACAAGACGGUUUGGUGCCCCUCGAAGACUAUCGAAGACGGUGUUUCUCUACGUUUCUUUUUGGUGGAUUUGAGUCGUAGGAAAGCCGUACUAUUAAGAGGGGGUCCGCGUUGGAAAGGUUUAGGUGGAAUCAUCAUGUACACAUCUUUUCCAUUUGCACCACCUUCCCUUUGGCUCUUUGGAGCAUCCUCCGUUUUUCCGUGUCUCUGUGAAAUGAAGGACUCCUAGUGUUGCUGAAUUGGGGCAUGCGGUAGUACUGCUCUCAGGAGCGGUAGUACCGCAGAACCUUGUUGUAGUACCGCAGGUGCCCACGGUAGUACCGCGUCACCGGCAUGGUAGUACCGUGGCCCCAGGGCAGGCCCAGCGGCUUGAGCGGUUGUAGGGGAGGAUGUGAUUUUUUACAUCCGCGUCCUACACGGUAGUACCGCACCUCAGACACGGUAGUAAUGCGAGCUCUGGGUAGGCGCGGCAACACACGUGGAAGUAGGGGUGGAUGUAAUUUUUGACAUUCGCGCCCUACGCGGUAGUACCGCUCCAGGUGUGCGGUACUACCACAGAUCCCAACCCAGCAGAAGUUGCCACGGAUGUAUUUUUAUAUGUCUGUGCCCUCCCAAAUCUGGACUAUCUCUGCCUCGUGGUAGUACCGUAAGGGGGAGCGUUAGUACCAUGCCGACGGUUCUACCGCCCUCUGCUGCAUGGGCGGUAGUACCACAGAGCAUUUCGGUAGUAUCGUGAGCCCUUGCGGUAGUACCGCGCCUCCGGUGCGGUAGUAUCGUGCUUUGCAGGCAAAGUUGGUGGAUAAUGGUUGGAUUUGUUCUUCCACUAUAUAAGGGGUGUCUUCUUCUCCGAGUUGACUACCUCUUCCAUCCCCAAGCUCCAUUGAUGCUCUAAGCUCCAUUUUCACCCGAAAUCUCUCCCUAGCCAAUCAAACUUGUUGAUUUUCUAGGGAUUGGUUGAGAAGGACUAGAUCUACACUUCCACCAAGAGAAAUUUGAUUCCCCCCACUAAUCCCUUGCGGAACUUGUUACUCUUGGGUGUUUGAGCACCCUAGACGGUUGAGGUCACUAUGGAGCCAUAUUUCAUUGUGGUAAAGCUUCAAGGUGUCAUUGGGAGCCUCCAAUUAAGUUGUGGAGAUUGCCCCAACCUUGUUUGUAAAGGUCCGGUCGCCGCCUCCAAGGGCACCAAUAGUGGAAUCAUGGCAUCUCGCAUUGUGUGAGGGCGUGAGGAGAAUACGGUGGCCCUAGUGGCUUCUUGGGGAGCAUUGUGCCUCCACACCGCUCCAACGGAGACGUACUUCCCCUCAAAAGGAAGGAACUUCGGUAACACAUCGUCAUCUUCACCGGCUCCACUCUUUGUUAUCUCAUGCCUUUACUUGUGCAAGCUUAUUUGAGUUAUAUCCCUUGCUUGCUUGUGUGCUUGUUGUUGUUGUUGCAUCAUAUAGGUUGCUCAUCUAAUUGCAUAUCUAGACAACCUACUUUGAUGCAAAGUUUAAAUUGAUAAAGAAAAGCUAAAAAUAGUUAGUUACCUAUUCACCCCCCCUCUAGUCAACUAUAUCGAUCCUUUCAAUUGGUAUCAGAGCCUCGUCUCUUUAUUAAGGACUUUGCCGUCCGAAGAGUAUGGUUGACUCCAUAAACGGUGAGGAGGAGCACCCAGGUGUGAUUCCAUCCUCGUCUACGGACGACGAGGAAACCUUGUUCUCAUGCAAAGAGUUCAAUAUGGCUUUGGACACAUUGAAAACUUUCAUGACGACCGAGGUCAAAGGCAUGCUCAAGAACUUUCUUGAUGGUCUCAAAUUAUCCACCGCAUCGUUGGAAGUGGUUGAUACCACUAACAAGGUGACGGAUGCUAACUCCAACAAGGGGGAAGCUACUAGUGAGAAAGUUCCUUUGUCUAGUGGUAGAAAUGGUAGUGGCAUCUUUGCCCAUGUGGAACCUCCUCUUACUUAUGGGGGACCCAUUCCCUCCACUCAUCUAAAUCAUGUCGGUCCUCCUCCUAAGAUUGUGAAAAAUGAGGACUUUGAUGCUUGGGUUUAUCACUUUAAACGUCAUUUCAAUCAUGUUAAUACUAAUCUUUGGAGAAUCAUUGAGCAAGGUUUCUAUCCGCAUGACCCAAGCAACUUCACCCCUAGAGAAGCCGUGGAUCAUCAAUUCAACAAGAAUGCUCUCUUCAUCAUCCAAGAUGAAAUUCCUUCCAAAUAUCUUGCUCAUCUCCGACCUUUCACCAUGGCCAAGGAUGCAUGGCACCAUGUUGUAUCCAUUUACAGGGGAAGCGCAAGCAUCCAACGCUCCAACUAUGAAGUGGUGCAAGAUUAAGCCGAUUAGUUCGCAAUGAAAGAAGAUGAAGAACCUCGUGAGCUUUACUGGAGGCUAACCACUCUAGCGGUCUCACUAUGAGAUCAUGGGAGCAAGGAUACGGAUGACAAUUGGAUCAAGCGCAAGUUUCUCAAGGCCAUGAUGCCUUACCACAAGGCCAUAUCCUCUGUUAUCCGUCAAAGGCCGGACUUCCACACCUUGUCCUCGAGUGAAGUGUUGGAUGAGUUUGUGGCAAUGAGGAUCUUGGACAAGACCGCCGACAAUGCGGUGUUGCGUUCUCAGAGAGCUAAAAGGACCAACCUUGCUUUGAAGGACAAAGUUAGUGUGGAAUAAUAGGAUGAUGAGGAAGAAGAAGAGAGCAAUCCCUAAGAUACAAAAUAUGCUUAUCAUGAGCACAUGGCUCUCCCAUCAAGGCAAUUUUGGAGCAAGAAGAACUCAAGGCCCAACUUCAACAAGAGCAACUCAAGUGGCACGAAGGGCAAGCAACAUGUGAGGACUUUCUAUAAUUGUGGCAAUGUGAGCCACUUUGUUGCGGAAUGCCCAUAUGAGAAGAGGGAAGACAAUGGUGGCAAGCUCAUCCGAAAAGACAAGGCCAAGUCAUUCCCCAACAAGAGCAACUUCACCAAGAAGACUCCUCCCAAGGGGUUGGUGGCACAAGAAGAGUACAAUGAGGAUGAUGAUCAUGAUGAUGAUGAUGAUGAAGACGGUGAGUCGGUUGCCAUGUCCUCCGUUGCCAUUGUGACAACUCCUAGGGUGUCUCUCUUUGACUCACCUAAUGAGAACAUCACCGCCAAGUGCCUCAUGGCCAAAGCCACCAACAAGGUAACCCCCAACAUCAAAACUACCAUCAUUACUAAUCCUUCUUUGAUGGAUUGCAUUGAUGAAAAUGAGGUGUUUAAUGAGGAGGAAAAUAAAUUUGAGUCAUUUAUGAGUAAGCUCAAGGGUAAAUCCAAGAAGCACUUUGUUGCUCUCUUGGAACAACUUGGUGAAGCCAAUGACAUGAUUGAGGCUCAUGAAGAAACCAUCUCUAAGAUGGAGGGGCAUAGUCGUGACUAUGUCGAUGAGAUAUCGGAUCUCUCUAACGCUCUUGAAGAAGAGUGUGGUCAUCGUUUGGCUCUUGAGGAGUCAUACAGUGAUGAUCAUGCUAAAUUAAAGAAAGAUCUUGAUCAUGCUCUUGCUGUAUCUCGUGUGCUAAAUUCCGAGAAAGCCAAACUUGGGAUUGAUCUUGCUAGACUCAAGGAGGAGUUUGAUAUACUUGAAAAGGCUCACAAGGCCUUGAAGGGUACUCAUGCUAGUCUUAAAGAGUCUCAUGAUCAACUCCAAGUGAAGCUAACCAAGGAGAAAGCUACGUUUACUCAUAUGGUUUUAAUUGAUAAUGCAAAUGCUACUAACACUUGUUGUGAGCAUGUGCAUCUUGUUGAGGAUAAUGCAAAGUUGAAGGAGAAACUUGAGAAAGGCCUUGUGUCGUGCAUACAAGGUGAGAAGAAUCUCAAUGACCUUUUGAGUAAUCAAAAGGAAGUUGUGGCCAAGGAAGGGAUUGGGUUCGCACCCAAAUCCAAGAACAAGAAGAAGAAUGACAAGACCAAACGACCUCCUCCUCUCAAGCAAACUUUUUUGAAGGAGGGAGAGGGUGCUCCUAAGGAGAAGAAUAAGAACAAUGGGAAGGGCGGUGAUGCCAAGAAGGGCAAUGCUACUCCUUCCAACAAAGCUGGCAACUUUAACCCUUCUUAUAUGUUAUGCCGUGCUAGUGAUGGACAUGUUUGUGCUAAAUUUGUUGGCUCUCCUUAUGAGUACAUUGAAUGGUCUAUUUGGGUUCCUAAGACCCUUUUUACUAACAUCAAAGGACCCAUUACAAAAUGGGUACCUAAAACCAAGCAUUGAUCUCUUGUAGGUGUUUGCUUCCGGUGGGGGAUCAUGGUUGCUCGAUAGUGGAGCCACAAAUCAUAUGACCUGAAGCAAGGACUUGGUGGUGGACGUACACAAGAUUCCAUCUAUGCCCACCAAUGUCGAAUGGGGUGAUGCCUCGUCUUCUAAGGUAUUGGGCCUUGGCAAGGUUGUCAUUUCUCAUUAUCUCACGAUCGAGAAAGUCAUGCUUGUUGAGUCCCUUGCAUACAAUUUACUUUCUGUUCAUCAACUUGCACUCAUGGGCUUUGCCACUUUCUUUGAUAUUGAUUCCGGGGCCCUCUUGUGGAGCAAGACUCUUAAAGUAGCCUUUGUUGGGCAUGUCGAGAAUGGUCUCUAUGUGAUUAACUUUUCAGAGCGACCCACUAAGACCGCGACAUGCCUAAUGGCUAAAGUUGACGUGGGAUGGCUUUGGCAUCGCCAUUUAGCCCAUGUCAAUAUGAGAUCUUUGCAAAGUCUUCUCAAGGGGGACCAUGUUCAUGGACUAACAAAUGCUAGUUUUGCUAAAGAUCGUGCUUGCAGUGCGUGUAUCGAAGGAAAGCUUCAUGAAAAGGCUCACCCUCCCACAACUAUCAUUUAUUCAAAGAGGCCUUUGGAGCUCCUUCACUUGGAUCUCUCUGGGCCUCCGUCAUUUGAUAGUAUUGGGGGUAUAAAGUAUUGCUUGGUGAUUGUGGAUGAUUAUUCAAGAUACACUUGGGUAUAUUUCUUCAAGAGGAAGAGCGAGACCCAACAAACCGUCAUUAAUUUUGCAAAUGAAGCUCAACGCCAACACAAUGCAAAGAUCUUGACGAUAAGAAGUGACAACGGCACCGAGUUCAAGAACUACACCUUGGAUGAGUUCCUUAGUGAUGAGGGGAUCAAGCAUCGAUAUUCCGCACCUUACACCCCUCAACAAAAUGGUGUAGCAGAGAGGAAGAACCGGACGUUGAUGGAUGCGGCAAGAACCAUGAUAGCGGAGUUCAAGUCCCCAUACAACUUUUGGGACAAAGCCAUCAACACCGCGUGCCAUGCAUCAAAUCAGCUCUACCUCCGCAAAGGCUUGAACAAGACUCCAUAUGAUAUACUCACCAGUAACAAGCCCAGCCUCAAAUACUUCUGGGUGUUCGGGUGUAAGUGUUUCAUUCUUAAGAAAAGUGUCCGUUUGUCUAAAUUUGAGGCUAGAGCUCAUGAGGGCAUAUUUGUUGGUUAUGCUACAAACUGUCAUGCUUACCAUGUCCUCAAUAAGUCCACGGGACUUAUUGAGGAGACGUGUAACGUGGAGUUUGAUGAGAAUAAUGGCUCCCAAGUGGAGCAAAGUGGUACUUGUGAUGUAGGUGAUGAAAUUCCUCCCCAAGCCAUAAGAAGAAUGUGUGUUGGCUUUAUCCUACCCAUUGAGGAACCCCUUGUGGCCGAAGGAGAAGGACAAUGUUCCACUCAAGUGGAACCAUCACCAACUCAAGACCCACAUGCUUCCUAAGAACAAAGUGAAGGCCCUCAACCGAAUGAACAAGAUCAAGGGCAAGAUCAACCUCAAGAUGGUGAUGAAUCAUCAAAUGAUGCUCAAGAUCAAGCUCUCUCCUCCGAGCUAGUUCAAGCUCAAGAACAAGUUCAAGACGACGCUCAAGAUGAUCAAGUUUCCACUCCUCAACUCACUCCUAAGGAGGAAUUGGAGCGUCGUGCCGUGAAGAUUGCAUCCAAGCUCACUACUAAGGGACAUCUCAUGACAAAUGUGCUUGGAAGCAUUUGAAAGGGGGUAAGCACUCAUAGAAAAUUGGCAAACUAUUGUGAACAUCACGCGUUUGUAUCUUGUGUUGAACCCCAAAAGGUCUAUGAGGCGCUCGAGGAUCCGGAUUGGCUUAAUGCCAUGCAUGAAGAACUCAACAACUUCAAGCACAACAAGGUGUGGAGAUUGGUGCCAAGGCCAUCGGGGAACCAUAAUGUCAUUAGAACCAAGUGGAUAUUCAAGAACAAGCAGGAUGCUCAUGGUAUUAUCAUUUGCAACAAGGCUCGAUUGAUAGCACAAGGCUACUCCCAAGUCGAGGGUAUCGACUACGUUGAAACCUUUGCUCCCGUUGCACGCCUUGAAUCCAUUCGCAUGUUCAUUGCUUAUGCUUCUCAUCAUAACUUUAAGAUACAACAAAUGGAUGUGAAAAGUGCUUUUCUUAAUGGUCCUAUUAAUGAGUUGGUACAUGUCAAACAACCCCCCGGGUUUGAGGAUCCCUUUUUCCCCGAUCACAUGUAUCAACUCGAUAAGGCACUCUAUGGCCUUAAACAAGCCCCACGUGCAUGGUAUGACCACCUUAUUGAGUUGCUACAAGAUCGUGGGUUUGAAAUUGGGAAAAUCGACCCCACUCUUUUUACUAAGAAGGUCAAAGGGGAGUUGUUUGUGUGCCAACUAUAUGGUGAUGAUAUUAUCUUUGGUUCCCCUAACAAAGCUUUCAAUGAGGAAUUUGCCGCACUCAUGACCUCCAAGUUCAAGAUUUCCAUGAUGGGAGAGUUGAAAUUCUUCCUCGGGUUCGAAGUCAAGCAACAAAGAGAAGGAACCUUCAUCAACCAAGUGAAAUACACUCAAGACAUGCUCAAGAGAUUCAAGCUAAGUGAUGUCAAGCCGGCUUCCACUCCAAUGCCCGUCAAAUGCCAACUUGACAUUGAUCCCAAUGGUAAAGCGGUGGAUCAAAAGGCAUAUCGCUCCAUGAUUGGCUCCUUGCUUUACCUUUGUGCAUCUAGACCGGAUGUCAUGUUGAGUGUGGGGAUUUGUGCAUGGUUUCAAGCCGCACCUAAGGAAAGACACUUUGUGGCAGUCAGGUGAAUCUUUCGAUAUUUGGCUCAUACUCCAAACUUUGGCUUAUGGUAUCCAAGAGGAUCUAACUUCAACCUUAUGGGCUAUUCGGACUUCGAUUGGGCGGGAGACAAAGUGGAUAGGAAGUCCACUUCUGGAGGGUGCAAAUUUCUUGGUUGCUCUUUGGUGAGUUGGUCUUCCAAGAAACAAAGUUGUGUGUCUCUCUCGUCCACUGAAGUGGAGUAUGUGGCCGCCGGUAGUUUUUGUGCAUAACUUCUAUGGAUGAGGCAAACUUUAAAGGAUUAUGGUGUCAUUUUGUCGGAGUAAUGGGCCACAGGUAGGCCAACCCGAGUCCCAGGACCUUUCAAGACAUCGGGGCAGGCCGCGCCCCUCAGGCCGAGUCCCAGGAGCCGAUUCCAGGACAAGCCGAGUCCCAGACGGCGACUCCAGGAUAAGCCGACUCCAAGCUGGCGACCUCCAUAGAGGCCAACUAUGGGGAGUCGGCCCAUGACUCCUCCCUCAUCUCGAAGCACGAUGCGGGGUACGGUCACGGCGUGGCCGUUCCCUCCUGCCUACGAAGGACCGGCGUGGCUACAGUGAGCCGUAUCGCUGGAAGAUCUCCGGCGAGGCGCGGCACUGUUGCCAUGUCUGCCCUGACCUCAGCCACAGUGCGCAACGCACUGUGCCCACGACGCCAGCCUGUACGACCCGAAGACCGCGGGGCCGCUUGUUAGUGGGUGGACCGAAGGCGGCCUGAGCGCCCGAAGACGGACCUGUGGGAGUCGGCCUCCCUGGAGUCGGCCGAUUCCUGUCCAGGGCCCCACGGGCCAUUAACCAGAUGGGAUGGGGAAUGGCGACAGCGAUCGCCCGAUAGACGGUGGCACUGUUGCCACGACCCAAUGAUCAAGCCUGCGUCAUCAGGAGUGCCGCUACAGUGUCAAGCCUAUCCACGGGACCCGCUAGUCGGCGGGCCCCACAAGCUGGCUGACUUCCUCGUCGACUGGGCCGAGACCCAGUACCUGCCGCCAGCGCCUGACUCCACCCAUUGGCGGAUGCAUUUCGACGGCUCCAAGAUGCGCACCGGCCUGGGAGCCGGCGUCGUCCUCACCUCCCCUAAAGGCGACAAGCUCAAGUAUGUGCUGCAGAUCCACUUCGCCGCCUCCAACAACGUCGCCGAAUAUGAGGCGCUUAUUCAUGGGCUCCGGCUUGCCAAAGAACUCGGCAUUCGCCGGAUCUUGUGCUAUGGCGACUCCGACUUGGUGGUCCAGUAGUCAUCUGGCAACUGGGACGCCAAAGACGCAAAUAUGGAGAGCUACCGCUUCCUAGUGCAGCAACUCAGUGGAUACUUCGAGGGGUGCGAGUUCCUCCACGUGCCAAGGAACGACAACGACCAAGCAGACGCCUUGGCACGAGUCAGCUCCACCCGCCAAGCGAUACCAUUCGGAGUCGCUCUUCAGCGCCUCCUCAAGCCGUCUAUCAAGCUUUCACCAGAGUCAGACUCCAUCUUUGUGCCGGCCCCUCCAGAAGAAGUCGGAUCCGACUCAAGAGCCCCCGCAGACGGCCCCAAGAAAAUCAUAGUUGAAGCCGGCCCGGGGACUUCAAAACCCGGCCCAGGGACUGCGCCAGUCGGCCCGGGGACUGCGCCAGUCGGCCCGGGGACUGUGCCAGUCGGCCCAGGGACUCCGUCAAUCCAGCAAGCGGCCGCAGACUCCAGCCUGCCGCCUCCCAGCCCAGCCACCCUUGUCCAAGUCGCAGUGGUAGCAGUUGAAGAAAUAGCUGCACCCUCAUGGGCGCAGCCCAUCCUCAAGUUUCUAGUGAACAGAGAGCUACCGACCGACGAGAUCCUCGCUCGGCAAGUGCAGCGCCGAGCGGCAGCAUACACCAUAAUCAACAGAGAGCUGGUCAGGUGCAGUGUCACUGGUGUCUACCAGCACUGCGUAGAGCCAGAACAAGGCCAGGCAAUUCUCAGAGACAUUCAUCAGGGCGAGUGCGGCCACCAUGCAGCUUCAAGAGCACUCAUCGCCAAAGCCUUUCGGCACGGCUUCUUCUGGCCGACUGCCCUGGAAGAGGCUAAAGAGUUAGUCCAAAAAUGCAAGGGGUGCCAGAAGUUCCGCUCCAAGCCACUUCAGCCGGCUUCCGCGCUGAAGACAAUCCCCAUCGCCUGGCCCUUUGCAGUUUGGGGCCUGGACAUGGUGGGACCAUUCAAGACGGCCCGAGGCGGCCUAACUCAUCUGCUUGUCGCGGUGGACAAGUUCACCAAGUGGAUAGAAGAAAAGCCCAUCAAGAAGUUGAAUGGUCCGACUGCAGUGACUUUCAUCGCCGACAUCACGGUGCGGUAUGGCAUACCGCACAACAUCAUCACCGACAAUGGCACAAACUUUGCCAAGGGCGCCUUGGCCCGUUUCUGCGCGACGCAGGGCAUCCGACUGGACUUCGCGUCCGUUGCCCAUUCGCAGUCAAACGGCCAGGUGGAGCGAGCAAACGGCCUCAUCCUGUCCGGCAUCAAGCCUCGGCUGGUCGAACCACUCGAGCGUUCGGCCGACUGUUGGGUUGAGGAGCUACCAUCCAUCCUCUGGAGUCUGCGCACGACUCCAAACAAGUCAACCGGCUUCACGCCUUUCUUCCUCGUCUAUGGUGCCGAAGCCGUCAUCCCGACGGACAUAGAGUUCGACUCUCCACGAGUCACCAUGUACACCGAAGAGGAAGCUGAAGAAGCACGCCAAGACGGCGUUGACCUGCUGGAAGAGGGCCGGCUGUUAGCACUCAGCCGGUCCGGCAUCUACCAGCAGAGUCUGCGCCGAUACUACAACCGAAAGGUCAAGCCGAGAUCGUUUCAAGAGGGCGACCUUGUGCUCCGGCUGAUUCAGAGAACAGUCGGCCAGCACAAGUUGUCGGCGCCUUGGGAAGGCCCCUUCAUCAUCAGCAAAGUCCUGGGCAACGGCUUCUACUACCUAAUCGACGCUCAGAAGCCUCGAGCGCGCAAGAGGGACGACUCCGGCAAAGAAACAGAGCGCCCAUGGAAUGCAAAUCUUCUUCGAAGAUUUUACAGUUGAUGCAAUUACUAAGACAGACAAACAAAGGUGGAAAAGGCAGCCUAGGAGGCGGCAUCUGGGAUCGGAGGGUCGGAGGAGAUGGCGGUGUCAGGCGCCGGGGCAGUCGGCUGGGCGGUCUCGGUUUGGUCGCCUCCGGCGGCAGUCGCUUUCUCUCCACGCGGCUCAUUGCUGGAGGUGCGAUCGAGCUGAGGCUGGCCGCCUGCUCCGUCUUCUGGCACCUCUGCCUCGCCUCCGUCCUCCGCCUCGUCCUCCUCCUCGGUGCUGGAGUCGAUCACCUCCACCGAGUCCUCGUCAUACUCCGGGUUCAUCCCAAACCACUCUGGCGGCACUUCCUCGCUGCCUUCAGCCCACUCGGGCACGAAGACACUGGUGUCCGUGUACUCGGCGAUGGCCGCCGCAUGCUCGAUAAGGGCGCCUGUCGGUGUCAAAACUGGCGGAUCUCGGGUAGGGGGUCCCGAACUGUGCGUCUAGGCGGAUGGUAACAGGAGACGAGGGACAUGAUGUUUUACCCAGGUUCGGGCCCUCUUGAUGGAGGUAAAACCCUACGUCCUGCUUAAUUAAUAUUGAUGAUGUCUAUUACAAGAGUGGAUCUACCACGAGAUCAAGGAGGCUAAACCCUAGAAGCUAGCCUAUGGUAUGAUUGUUGUAAUGGAUGUUGUGUCCUACGGACUAAAACCCUCCGGUUUAUAUAGACACUGGAGAGGGCUACGGUUACACAGAGUCGGUUACAAUGGUAGGAGAUCUACAUAUCCGUAUCGCCAAGCUUGCCUUCCACGCCAAGGAAAGUCCCAUCCGGACACGGGACGGAGUCUUCAAUCUUGUAUCUUCAUAGUCUUGGAGUCCGGCGGACGAUGACAGUCCGGCUGUCCGGACACCCCCUAGUCCAGGACUCCCUCAGUAGCCCCUGAACCUGGCUUCAAUGACGAUAAGUCCGGCGCGCAUAAUGUUCGGCAUUGCAAGACGGGUUCCUCCUUUGAAUAAUCCAUAGAAGAUUGUGAACACCAGGAUAGUGUCCGGCUCUGCAAAAUAAAUUCCACGUUCCACCGUAGAGAGAAUAAUAUAUACACAAGUUCAAUCUGCUGACGUAUCUUGUAACAUGACGUCACGCCACUACCAAGCCUUUACUUGAAUUGUUUUUUAUUAUACCACCUCAGCGCGUUUAGCGAAGCGGUUUACUUGGCACGUCUUGUCGAAGCAGAGAUCGUGUUCCCCUUAUUCCGGGAUUCUCAUCAAUAUGGACGUGGGUAACCCAACCGCGCCCGUCGCCACGCCCCCUCUAUCGAAGGCGAGUCCCGAACGGUCACAGAGACGGCUCUCGGUAUUCUCCCUCUUUAUAACAGGACCAAGGCUCGUUCCUUUUCUUCAAUCCUCCAUCGAAUCUUCUCCUCACUCCAAGUUCCAACACCUAGAGUCCCAGAUUCGUGUGCUUCGGACCUUCAACAAUGUCCGGUUCCGACCUUCAGGGCCGAUGGAUGCCCUCCUCCGUCACGGAGGAGGACGUGCUAAAGCUGCGAGAGGCCAAGUACCUGUCUUAUGAGAUUUCACACAGGCUGCCCGCCGAAGGGCAGGCCAUACCCACCCCCGAGCCCGGUGAGUAUGUCGUCUUUGUAUUCCACCUCCGUCGGGGUUUAGGCUUCUCAACGGAUCCUUUCAUGAGAGGGCUCAUGUUCUACUACGGGCUGGAUUUCCAUGACUUGGCUCCGGAGUCCAUCCUCCAUAUUUCCGCAUUUAUUGUCGUCUGCGAAGCCUUCCUCCGCGUAACCCCCCACUUUGGCAUGUGGCUGAAGACCUUCAAUGUGGAGCGGAAGAUGAUUGGGGGGCGUCAAGAAGAGUGCGGCGGGGCGGCCAUAAGCAGGAGGGCCAAUGCCCCGUGGCCUGAGGGCUCCUUCCAAGGGGAGCUCGGCUUGUGGCAGCAGGAGUGAUUCUAUAUCACCGCUCCGAAGGGCAGCAGGCAGAAGCCGCCGCCCAUAUUCCGCCCGGGACCUCCUCGACGGUUGAUGUCGUGGGUCAACCAAGGGCUCAACUGGGGGCCGUCAAAAGACGUGCCCCUAUUGCAGGGCCGGAUUCGAGACCUCCAGGCGAGGGAGAUCGAUCUGGUCGUGGUGAUGCAGGUUAUGCUGAUUAGGCGUCUCCUGCCCUGCAAACGCCAUCCUCUCCGGCUAUGGGAGUUUAAUCCGGAGGGACCACGGAUUCUCCAACACUUUAUGGGUAUGACACCCGUGGAGAUGUACAAGUUGUUCUUCGAACCGCAGGUGGCGUGUCCAGAAUUGACCGAGGAUGCAGGCCUAAGCUGCAAUCGCCCGGAUACUCAGGUAAGUAGCCCAGUGUUCGGACGUACCAUUUGUUUGCUUUUCUACAAUUCGCCUUUUAACCCGUUAUCCUGCAACAGGAGUGGAUAGCGGAAGCAAAGCUGAUACGGUGUCCGGCCCCCCUCCCAGAGACCGCGCCGGAUCUCGUGCUGGUCAGGAUGUUGGAGGUUGCGCCUUCAGAAGAAGGCGAAGGGGAAAAUAGAGGAGCUACCGCCUCGCCCAAGGGGGCGAUUGAAGAAGGGGGGAUCGAGAAUCCCUCCCCCCAGGGGGAGAAGAGGACCGCCUCCGAAGACCCGGAGGCCAAAGCCCCUAAGUGGGGGAAGAAAUCUUCACCAGAGGGUCCUGCGUCCGGGAAGGUCCCGGCCGCACAGUCUUCUCUAAAGAAUCAGCCCUCCAGCGAGCCGUGAGUGGAAAAAAGGGGGAGUUCAUUAAUAAGAAACAUCCCUAUUUGUGCUUCUGAGGAUAACCGAAAUUUUUACCUUGUAGUUCGGAUCUGCGACCUUCUCAGAUGAGCUCGUCUUCGGGGGAUCUUCGUCCGGAGAUGAUGGAGAGCGAGACGCCUCCGUCUGCUGCGCCAUCGGAUAGGGCGGACGAGCCUGAAGUGUCGUCACGGAGGGUAUCCCCGAGCCCGGCAGAGCCGAAGAGUUCGGCACCGACUAGUGUUCGGCCGGGGGAGCUGAAGGUUCUGCUUGAGAGGGCGUCCAUCUCAGAAGACCACCGUGCAUUGAUGAGUACGGUGAUUAGAAGGAUUUCGUCCGCCGAAAGCGGAUUGCAUAAUGCCUUCAGGAGUUUGCUGGCGGGAUUUGAGGUAUUUAAAAAUGACACCCCUUUUUGACAGGUUUACACAUAAAGUGCGCCCUGUACAGAUAGUAGCCCCUGAGACUCGGUAGGUUGUCGAAAGCGACAGCGUGCCGAGGAUCAAAAUCGCAGGUAUUGAGUGUCGCCUUUCCUAUGCAGGUGGCGGAUAGUCCGGGGGCUAGCCGGACUGAUGGAGUUGCUGAAUUAAUGCGGCAACUCGAUGUUGCGGAUGCAGACAUCGUGCUAGUCAACAAGCGACUUGACGAGUCGCAAGGUAAAUUGAUUCUCCGCAGUCACCUAUUAAGGGAGCUAAAGCCCACCUCUUACAAUAUUUAUGCUUGACGCAGAUGGUGCUGCUGCUGUGGAGAGCCUUCGGGCAGAACUUGCUCAAGCCAAGGAGCAAGCCAGAAGGAGUGAUGCGGCUGCCUCGAGGGCGGCCGAGGAGUUAGAAGCCGAAAGGGCUGCACACUGCCGAAGCAGGGAAGAGAUGGCCGAAUUGGCCGUUAAAUUGAAGGAUGCUACCGACCGCAAUGAGGCUCUUGAAAAGGAGCGCCUAUCGGAGCGAGAAGACCAGGGGAAGGCCACCGCUGAAGCCAAGGAUGCCCGUUCUGCAAUGCGGGCUAUGAAGGAGGAGCUGCGUCAGGCCGGAGACAUUGUGGCUGGCAAGCCUUUUCUGCUACGCCGCAGGUUUACAGAUCCAAAGUAUGCCCAGCUUGGCCAGCUGUGGGGUCCGGAGAAUCCAUAUAUGGACUUAGCGGCGAGUGCGGCGGAUGCCGUUGUGCACUUCCGAAGUCAGAAGGAUCACAAGACGGAAGAGCUAUUUUGGUCUCAAUUCCAUAGUCCGGAUCGUUCACUUCCGCUGACCGAUCGGUUGGCCGAAUGGGCUGAGCUGAAUAGGUUGUGCGGACUUUCCAUGACGGAUAUCGUGACUCAUGUCUGGCCGGAGAGGCCCAAGCCGACGAGCUAUUUUGGCUUAUUGCAGGAGUUUCUUGGGGCGGUGCCGCAUAUCAAGGAGAUGAAGCGGUCGGCCUGCAUAGAGGGUGCGCGGAUGGCCCUUGCCCGUGUGAAGACACAUUGGACAGAGAUGGAUGCCACCGCUGUUGCAACCCAGGGUUCGGAAGAAAGCCGGUUACCCGCCGAGCACUAUUUUGGGGAAGUUAUGCAUGGUCCUCGUGUAAUAGAGUCGCAGUGCUCGAAAAAUGUCAUGUUCAAAUGAAUGUUUUAUUUUGUAAAACAAUGGUUAUGAUGUAAUCGCUUUUUAUACUUGUGCGUUCCAAGUAUUGAAAUAUCUCCUAUGCGGCCGUUUAUGUAUAUGUGUGUAUAACCUGAAAGAUGGCAGUCUUCGGCUUCAGCCCCCACGCACAAGGUGCGGGGGUGUUCGCAAAAAUAGCGCAUUUUCACACUUAAUCCGACGUCUCGGUCCUAUUGAGGAGGUGGUAGCGUAGCAAACGAGGCAACCGGACUAUGAUGCUUUAUCACUUUCACUUAGCCAUUGGAGUUCGAGGGUGGGGCUACGAUAUAGCCCCUGGGGGCACCGCGCUCUCCGAAUUCGGGGCGCGUGUGUGCCUGACCGGGAAACGGUCCUUCGUCAAAGCGGAGGAAUUCUAAACAUUCCGGUGGUCGAUCGAGUGGUUGACCAGUCUCUCGCUGUAUCAUGACAGUCAGUUUUUGGCUUUCUCUACUGAGGUGCUCGCCCAGCCGAACUGGGGAACAAUCGCAGUAGUUCUCCUGGUGCCGCGUUAGCCGAUGAUACGGAACGUAAGGCAGCAAAACACAGGAGCCGGGCAAACCCAACAUUUGACCAAAGACAUGAUUCGGAGCUGAUGCAUAUAAGGCCUAACUCGAGACGCCGAACACUCCCUAAGGUGUUCGGUCUUUUAUAAUAACGGGCGAAACAAUGCCCUAAGCCCCUUGUGUCCAGGUACGGGCGAGGUCCUCUGACGCGGCCGAUGCCAAAAUGUCAGUAUCCUCUCUAGUUAUCAUGGAAAAACCAGGGGAUUAUAGCAACAAGAGACAGUAAAAAAGGUUUACGCAGGGUCUUAAUCUGAAAAGAAUCCUAGCAACAGGUCCCUACUGCACGUCUGUGCCUGUGUCUCCGUUGUGCCGUUAUCCUGGACGGGUGUGCACGGUGUUCAUCUGUAAAAAGAGAGGAACUUAGUUUGAAAGGAAAUCGUGCGAAAAAGUGUAUGAAAAAUAUCAAUAAAUAAAUAAAGAGGAGUCUAUAUUAGCUCAUUAUUGCUUAUACGCACAGCCCCUUGUGAAGGGGUGCGCGACUAGGGAGCCCCUAGCUUAUUUAUGCCGGACUCGUCUAGCCGUGUUCGGGGUCUUUAGAUGACCCUCUUAAUGAAAUGAUGCCACGUGGACCGGGCAUUUUAAGUGUAAGAGACGCGUAAUGUGGUAUUGUGUUAAAGCGGACAAAAGCUUCGCGUCCCAGUAGUGCUUGAUAGCUACUUUCAAAUGGGGCGACAUGGAAGAUUAGCUUUUCGCGUCGGAAGUUGUCCGGUGACCCGAACACAACUUCUAGUAAUAAGGAGCCUAUGCACUUGGCGUAAGGGCCUGGCGUCACUCCUUUAAAGGAAGUGCGGCUAUGUCGAAUUUUAGUAAGGUCUAUCCCCAACUUGCGGAUUGUGUUUGGAUAUAGCAGGUUUAAAUCGUUGUCGCCGUCCAUCAGGACUUGUGUAAAUUGUAGUCCGUUGAUUGUAGGAUCCAAUAUCAGAGCAGUCCAUCCUGCAUUUCGAACACUUCUGGAAUAAUCCAGGUGGUCAAAAGUGAUUGGUUUUGACAUCCAAUCUCGGGGUUCCGCUGGGGUGGACCGUGCGAGACCCAUCUUAGCGGGUGUCGCAUUGUUAUUCCGUAUUAUCACAUGAAGUGAGUUUACUGCUUUGACUUCUUGUGGGAAAGUCUUUUGUUUUCCGGUGCCCUGCUGGUGGGGUUCGUCGUCGUCCUCGCUUGGUGCGUCAAGCCCCUUGUGUUCGGUGUUGAGUCGGCCGGACUGUUUGAAAACCCAACAAUCUCGAUGGGUGUGGUUUGCAGGCCUUCCGGAGGUACUAUGGAUUUGACAUAUCCGAUCCAAAAUUUUGUUUAAGUUGGAUAGCUCGUCACUGCUGUCCUUAAGAGGCAGUGUUUUGUUGUUUGGCCGCGAGCUUUUGAAUCCAGCGUUGACCGCCGUGUUCUUUGGGCUUUUCUCUUUAUUCCGGCGUUGAUCUUUUCUGCGCCGUGAUUUUCCAUUUCCAUCUCUGAUCUCGGAUGUACUUGGGUCGCUAGUGCUGCAUCUUGCUAGCCAGCUAUCUUCCCCCGCGCAAAAGCGGGUCAUGAGGCUUGUUAGCACGGACAUUGUCCUCGGCUUCUCUUGGCCGAGGUGUCUGGCAAGCCAUUCAUCUCGGACGUUGUGUUUAAAAGCUGCUAAGGCUUCGGCAUCCAGACAGUCGACUAUUUGGUUCUUUUUAGUAAGGAACCUGUUCUAGAAUUUGCGCGCUGACUCUCCGGGCUGUUGAGUUAUAUGACUUAGAUCGUCUGCAUCCGGAGGGUGGACAUAAGUCCCUUGAAAAUUUGCUCUGAACGCGUCCUCAAGCUCUUCCCAACUUCCAACAGUGUUUUCUGGGAGGCUUUUGAGCCAAUGCCGAGCUGGCCCUUUGAGCUUGAGGGGUAGGUAUUUUAUGGCGUGGAGGUCAUCUCCUCUAGCCAUGUGCAUGUGUAGUAUAUAAUCCUCUAUCCAGACUCCAAGGUCUGUUGUUCUGUCGUAAGCCUCUAUGUUUAUGGGUUUAAACCCUGCUGGGAAUUCAUGAUCCAGCACCUCAUUGGUGAAACAUAGUGGGUGUGGGGCGCCCCUGUAUUUGGGUGUGCCGCUGUCUUCGAACACUUGGCGUGUUGUGUUGCUUCCUGGGGGCCCUCUUUUUUGGCAUGUAAAUGGACCUGGCUGGGCCAUCUGUUUUCCCAGGGUCAUGAGUCAGCUUGUGUGCGGUGCCGCUUGUAGAUUUUGGCCUAUCCUCUGGCCGUCUAUCCGGCCAGGCAGCCUCUUUGUUUUUUGACUGUGGAGGCUCUAUGGCUUCCUCGUCAAAUUCUGGAAGCAGCUUGCGCUUCGGGUAGCUCUUUGAUUGAUGGCCAUUGUCGUAUUUGUCUGCGGUUUUGAGCACUUUGCUCCACCUCAUUCUGAGUAUGUCUUCCGCUGUUUUGAGCUUCCGUUUUUCCUUCUUCAAACUUCUUGCAGUGGCGACGAGUCUUUUCCGAAGGCUCUUAUUCUUCGGUGGUGUGUCUGGCGUGAGGUCGUCUGGACUAUUGGUUUCGCCGGGCAUGGAUUGAUUAUCCGACUUGUCCUGUUCGGACGGUUGCUUGGCUCCAUGUUCGUCGUCCACUGGUUUGCUCUGCUCUAUUGCUGGGUCAUUAGGAGCGUUGUUGUUGUCGAGGUAGGACUUAGGGCGGCGUCUACGUCGCCGUUUUGGUUGUUUAUCGGCGGGAUUAUCCUUUGCCGCACCCCGUUGGUCCUUGUUAUCGCUUCCUUUUGGGGUAUCCACCAUAUUUACAUCAUGGGUUGGGGUGACCUUCCAGUGCUCUGUGAGCGCUGGUUCUUGAUCGUCUCCGGCAUCGUCGUCCAUACCGUCGAUGUCUUCGGAGUCGUAGUCUAGCAUGUCGGUUAGAUCGUCGACAGUGGCUACAAAGUGGGUGGUGGGUGGGCUUUGAAUUUCUUCAUCGUCCGCAUCCCAACCAUCCUGGCCAUAAUCCGGCCAGGGCUCUCCGGAUAGCGAGAGAUGUUUUAGCGAAUUUAAGAUGUCGCCAAAGGGUGAGUGCUGAAAGAUGUCAGUAGCGGUGAACUCCAUGAUCGGCGCCCAAUCGGAUUCGAUUGGCAGGGGCGCAGGAGGUCCAGAGUCCGGCAGUGAGUCCGGCACCUCGGAGUCACGAGCUUUAUAGGGAACAAGGUCAGUGUUUGGCUCCAUCGCCGUGGAAGUCGCGGCUCCUGAGGAGGUGUCCAACCAUCCGUCCUCGAUCUGCGCGAUCGGCUCCAGACUAUGGGUUGGAGCGGAUUCGUGUGCGGCCUCCAAGGUGUUGUCCGGCGACAGAGUUAGAUCAUGCCCAUCGUGACAGUGCGGCACGCUCGGUUGCGGAUCGGAUCCAUCGAAGAUCAAGUCUCCGCGGAUGUCCGCCGUGAAGUUUAGGCUUCCAAAUCUGACCUGACGGCCAGGGGCGUAGCUUUCGAUCUGCUCCAGAUGGCCAAGUGAAUUAGCCCGCAGAGCAAAGCCGCCGAAUUCAAAGAUCUGUCCGGGUAGAAAAGUCUCACCCUGGACAGCGUUGUUGUUGAUUGAAGAAGCCAUCGAGCCUAUCGGGGACGACACAGAGGAACUCUCAAUGAAAGCACCAAUGUCGGUGUCCAAACCGGCGGAUCUCGGGUAGGGGGUCCCGAACUGUGCGUCUAGGCGGAUGGUAACAGGAGACGAGGGACAUGAUGUUUUACCCAGGUUCGGGCCCUCUUGAUGGAGGUAAAACCCUACGUCCUGCUUGAUUAAUAUUGAUGAUGUGUAUUACAAGAGUGGAUCUACCACGAGAUCAAGGAGGCUAAACCCUAGAAGCUAGCCUAUGGUAUGAUUGUUGUAAUGGAUGUUGUGUCCUACGGACUAAAACCCUCCGGUUUAUAUAGACACCGGAGAGGGCUAGGGUUACACAGAGUCGGUUACAAUGGUAGGAGAUCUACAUAUCCGUAUCGCCAAGCUUGCCUUCCACGCCAAGGAAAGUCCCAUCCGGACACGGGACGGAGUCUUCAAUCUUGUAUCUUCGUAGUCUUGGAGUCCGGCGGACGAUGACAGUCCGGCUGUCCGGACACCCCCUAGUCCGGGACUCCCUCAACGCCCUCCACGGCCUCCAGCUCGGCCUGGGCUUCUGACCGGAACGCGGCCAGACGGUCCAGGUCCAUCCCUGGAUACCACGCCUUGACGAACUCCAAGGCCCGGCGUGCUCCGGCCCGGGCCGAGGAGCCCUUCCAAGCCUCAAGACGGCCGGCGGUGACUUCCAGCCAGUCGGCGGUCCGACUGGCGGUGCGCAGAGCCGGCAUGUCUGGCCACAGGGUGGCAACCGCCUGGGCACCAGCACGUUGAAGCCGGCGCAACAGCCGGUGAGCCGGACGAAGACGGGCUUCGAUGCUUAGAAGCUCCUCAUCGAUGGUUCGGGGGGCGUUAGCGGCGAUCUCCUCACCACUUGCCCUUCGCGCCUCUCGAGCAGCCUCGAUGGCCAAAGGGACUGCCUGCGAGUGACCAGGGAAGAAGUCUGCCAAGACAAAAAAGAAGCAAGUCGAAAAAUCAGAAGUCGGCCUAACGCAUAGUCGGAAGCCCGAAGAAACGAAAGAAACUUACCAUCAACGAUAUCCUCGAUCUCGUGGAAGCCGAAGGUCAGCAUCGCCUCCUUGUCAGUCCAGGAGGAGCGCUCGCUCUCAAACUCGGCCAGGAGAGCGGUCUCCCUCUUCUCGGCCUCGUCCUGCGCCUUCUUGAGCAGCUCCUUCUGCUCGGCCAGCUGCGCCGCCAGCAGGUCGCGCUCCGUGGCAAGCCUGCCACACUCCUCCUCCUUGGCAUGCCGGCGGUAUUGGCCUCGCCUAGCUGCUCCUGAAGAGCGGCGUUGGCGCCUGAAGAACGAAAGAAGAGACAAAUAAGUCGUCAGCAAAGUAGAUCGUCGGGAAGAUCCGGCCCGACUGCUCAGCAAUCGGCCCGAAUCUCGGGGACUACAGCCCGCGGGUGCGCCAGCGCGCCCCCGCAAUGAAAAGGAAAAAGAGCUUACUCUGGCUUUCCGUCAAGUCGGCGGUCCGCUUGUUCAACUCCUCAACAUUGCGGUUGAAGGCAGUGGCGCGGAGGUUAUGAUACUCCUGCAAUAAGUCAAUGGAGACAAAGUUAGUAUUUGGAACUCGCCAGAGGGAGUUCCGAACCGCCUGCUCAGCAGCCGGCCCGGAACUCGGGGACUACACCCAGUGGGUGCGCUGGCGCGCCCCCACAGAGAAAAACAAGGAUCAAAAAGAAGAGGGAAACGUACUCGGACGGAUGUCCGCGCGGCCAGAUGCGCCCUAGUGCAAGCUUGAAGGGUGUCGCCUUCAGCGCGCAGCUUUGCCUGAACGUCCAGGAGCGCUUGGUUCAGCGGCCCGGUGCCGCCUCCGCGCAACCAUCCGGUGGGCGCGGCGCUUGUGGCCUUGGCAUCUAGGGUUGCCGAGCUGGCAGCGCCAGUCUCCCAAGGUCGCGGCGCCGAGGUCGCCCUCUCAAGACGGCGGCGCACCGGCGAGGCGACUUGAAGAAGCAGCCGCGCCUCGGCCUCGUCCGUGAUCGGCGGCUCCGACUGACCCACCGGCUGUUUGCCGUGCGGUCUCCCAGAUGGCGGCGGACGCAGCGGUGGCGGCACGAGAGUGCCCGACAUAGCAGCCUCGCCGCUCUCCUUCUCCACGAGGGGGUUCUCGGUGCCGGCCUCUCCGGUCUGCCCCGUGAACUCCGGAGGCGGCGGCGCAGACAACAAUGAAGGGACGAGCAUCGCCGAUCAGCGACGCGCGGCCUCCUCGGCACGCCGUUUCGCUGCAAGGGCGGCUUCGGCAUCCUCCAGCUUCUUCUAGGCAUUGGCAUCCGCCUUCUUGGCAUGCGCCUUCUCCAGGCGGUCGGCCUCCUCCUCGUCGCGCUUCUCCCGCGCAUUUCGCUCCGUUGCCUCCCGGAGGUCGGCGGCGGGAUCGGCCCGCCGAGUAUUGGCGGACGUAUCUGCCGACCCCAUGACGGAGGGGACGGCGACUCUCUCAAGGGAAAGAGGGGCCCUGAAGAAGAACAGAGGGAGAAUAAAAGAAGACUCGGACAAGAUUCAACAAAGGAAAAUAAAGAGCAUAAAGACUUACGCAGAGACUAGCGGCGGCCUUCUCACUUCCCUUCGGAAGCGGUUGGUCUUCGCGGCCGCCUCCUCCCGCUUGGUCGCGGCGGCCGCCCUCUUGAGCUUCUUCAAUUUGCCGCCGGAUGCACUCGGCCCGGCGUGACACCUCUUCGCGCCGCCUUGGCCAGACAGGCCGGCGGAGGGGCUGACGCCCGACAAGCCGGCCCUCGGCUGGUGGCGCAGGGCGACUUCCCCGUCGGCGUCGACGUCAGGCUAGUCGGCGAAGGUGGCCGAGGGCCUGAAGACGCCCUCUGUUCCUUCUCCCCCGCCUUCGGCGUAGGCUUCCAUCGCCGCCGCCCCCAAGUCGGGGUCGUCGACGUUGCUGUCCGCACGAUCGGGAACAUACUCGCGGGGCUGUCUCGUGGCGCCGGCUGCAGGCUGCAUGAGGGGGUUCUAGCUCAGAAGAAACCGACAAGAGUCAGAAGCCGGAGUCGGCCGCAAAGAAGACAAAACAAUAGGGGGACGCGACUUACCACUGGUGGGGGGUUGUCGCGCGAGUACGGCUCCUUGCCGAACUGCCAGUCCUCCUCGAACUCGCAGUGCGCGAUAUGGUUCACCAAGUUCGCCACCUCCUUGCGGGGCAUCUCCUUGGUGCUCAUCCGACUUGGGUCUCGGAGGCCGCUCAUAUGACAGAUCAGGUGAGGCCGGCCUUGGAGCGGGAGAACUCGGCACGCCACGAAGACGGCCAGCAAGUCGGCCCCGACGAGACCCUCCGACUGCGUCAAGACUCGGAGUCGCGCUGCGGUGGCGGCUCUGGUGGGAGUCAGCGUCUUGACUCGGUGAGACCAGCUGGGGAGCCUCCCAGUUAGGGGGGCGGCGUUGUACGGCAGCAGGUUGACCCACUCGCCGUCGGAGGAGAGGUUCUUCACGUAGAAAUAUGAGCGCUGCCACAUCUUCACCGAUUUGAUCAGCGCGAUGGGAGGAAAUGGGUUGUCGGCUGUUGAGCGCCGCACCGCGAUGUAGGUGCCGCACUGAGCCGGUAUGCCGGCGACUUGCGUGCCGAGCUUAGAAGAGAAGAAUUCUCCCCACAGUUCGAGGGUGGGGAGAACACCGAGGAAACCUUCACACAGAGUGGCGAAGGCGCAGAGCAACACCAUCGUAUUCGGAGUGAGGUGGUGCGGUUGAAGGCUGUGGAACUCCAAGAACGAGCGGAAGAAGCCGCUCGCCGGCAGCCCCAGGCCGCGCAUGAGGUGCGAGCGGAAGAUGACCCGCUCGCCCUCCUCCGGCGCCGGUCGGGUCUCCCCCUCCGGCGCGGGGCGGGCGCGCACGAGGUCCACGCUGGGGAGACGGCGUGUCUGGCGGAGGAACUCUAUGUGUUCCUCUUCCACCUUCGAGCUGUCCCACACGCCGGAGCGCACGGCGGGGGCCGCGGCGGAGGAAGAGCUCAUCGCCGUGGUGUGGAGUGCUCUCACUCAAUGGUGGAGGCAGGAGGGAUAGAAGGCAAGAUGAGGCGGGGGAAUGGGGGAGAAGGGUGCGCGUGCGGUGCCGCCCCGCUCCCCCCCGCCUACUUAUAGCCCUAUGGGCUGAGAAGCCGAGGGGGCGGGCAUGGGAUUAACUGCGCACGAUGCCCCACGCCGCCCCAUGAUUUACCCCAUGAAGUUACUGCGCGCAGUAACAACAUGGGGAAACCAACCGUCCACGGCCGCAACGGAUCCGUUCAUAUCCCGAGGCACGGUAGUGGCGGACCCCGCCUGACAGCCCGUCCCGUCACGCGCAUGGGCAGGCAGACUGUCCUCUCCACGUGGCGCCACGCGAUAGGACUGCCUCGAUGGCAGCAGGGAAGCGUAUCAGGCAUGCCGCCUGGUUUCCCGCCGCGACUUUCAAGAUGCGGCUCCUCGCUAGAAAAAAUCAGACUCUCGACAGUCGGCCCAAGAGAAGACGGUAGCCAAGUUCCAGAGUCCGCUCCAGGGAGGUUGAAGCUGUUGAAGCCCCACCAUGCAGCGUCCGCGGGGCUUCACCAGCUUCGGGGACUACUGUCGGAGUAAUGGGCCACGGGUAGGCCAACCCGAGUCCCAGGACCUUUCAAGACAUCGGGGCAGGCCGCGCCCCUCAGGCCGAGUCCCAGGAGCCGAUUCCAAGACAAGCCGAGUCCCAGACAACGACUCCGGGAUAAGCCGACUCCAAGCUGGCGACCUCCAUAGAGGCCAACUAUGGGGAGUCGGCCCAUGACUCCUCCCUCAUCUCGAAGCACGAUGCGGGGUACGGUCACGGCGUGGCCGUUGCCCCCUACCUAUGAACGACCGGCGUGGCUACAGUGAGCCGUAUCGCUGGAAGAUCUCCGGCGAGGCGCGGCACUGUUGCCAUGCCUGCCCUGACCUCAGCCAUAGUGCCCAACGCACUGUGCCCACGACGCCGGCCUGUACGACCCGAAGACCACGGGGCCACUUGUUAUUGGGUGGACCGAAGGCGGCCUGAGCGCCCGAAGACAGACCUGUGGGAGUCGGCCUCCCUAGAGUCGGCCGAUUCCUCUCCAGGGCCCCACGGGCCAUUAACCAGAUGGGAUGGGGAAUGGCGACAACGAUCGCCCGAUAGACGGCGGCACUGUUGACAUGACCCAAUGACCAAGCUUGCGUCAUCAGGAGUGCCGCUACAGUGUCAAGCCUGUCCGCGGGACCCGCCAGUCGGCGGGCCCCAGAAGCUGGCGGGAAGGACAGAGGUCUGAGAGACAGAUGGCUGGGACCCGCGCCCAGCCGGAUUACCAUUGUACCCCCGGGGGGUAGGCCUAUAUAAACCCCCCGAGGCACCCAUGCAAAGGGUUCGGACCUUGAUAGAGAUAGACCAGAUUGCAUAGGGAGGAGAGAACUAGCCUUGCCCUCUCCUGCCUCCCGAUACAGCUCUAGGAGCACCAUUGUAGUCACUUUGCCUUAGUGAUCAUGCGGAGACCCCGCAGAGCAGUAGUAGGGGUGUUAUCUCCUCGGAGAGCCCUGAAGCUGGGUAAGAUUCGCCGGCGUGCAUGUCUUCGCCUCAUCCCGUUUCCAGGCACCGGCGAUGUUCUACUCGCCCCCACCAUGAUAAGCCAUCCUUUGGCAUAUGUCGCACCCAACCCCCGACACAUUUGUGACAAAGUGCCUCUUUGGUGUGAUAAUGAAGGUGCCAUCAAGAUUUCUCUCAACCCCGUGCAACACUUCAAGACGAAUUAUAUUGAGAUUCGGUAUCACUUCAUCCAGGAUCACAUUAGGCGAGGGGAGAUCGAGCUCAACUAUGUCAACACUCAUGAUAACCUUGCAGAUAUUUUCACAAAGCCCUUAGAUGAAGCACGAUUUCGUGUGUUAAGGCAUGAGCUAAAUAUCAUUGAUUCGAGAAAUAUUGCUUGAACCCUUGCACACCUCACCAUACUCAACUUGUUAUCUUGUUUAGGUGUAGGCAUGGAAAUAGGGGGAGUGUUGUUUUCUCAAUGAACUCUCCCUCCCCUCAUUAUGCAUAAAUUUGAUCAACUCUUUCACAUUAGCCAUUGUUGAUGGUACUUGUGCUUCAAAGACGAGUUUUGGUCAUGGGCCCAAGGAUAAUUCUUCACGAUGCCAUACCAAUUGACUCUAACAUAGGUUGCUCCGGCCACCGCCCUCUCUUUGGGGAGUUGUGUUGCGUGUUUAGUCUAUGUAGUCCCUUGCCUUUCUUUCUUCGUGUCGAGCCUGCGUGUGUUGUCUUAGCUCUUUAGUGUGUUUGCUCUCUUGUAGGUUGCAUUGCAAAGGCCACUUUCUUCUCUGUUUUUGAAACUUGCAUUUUCUUGGGUCCACGGUACUACAUUGGCUCGCCACGGUACUACCACAGGAGCUGCGCACGGUACUACCGCACCCAGCACGGCAGUAAUUUUUUACUGCCGCUAGAGGAGUGGUACUUCCGCCGGGGCAGUACUACCGCGAUGACACGCGGUACUACCGCGCUGACGCGAGCGCGUGGGGGUUAAGAGCGGGCAGGGGGAGUUCUAACUCCCCCAUACCCAUUCAACUCUUUUUCCCAAUGCAGUCUCUCUCUCUCUCUCCUGCCCAAGAACGGCACCAAAGAACCUCGUCGCAUCUCCGUCUUCGGCCGCUCUCCUUGCAUUCCGUCCGGUGGGAUCGUUCCCCACCACUCCCUCUUGCCAUGGAACAAGGUUUUCCCCAAAUACCUCUCUCUUUGGUUCGUUCUUUUGUUUCUAGGUUUUGGGGAGAUGCAUGUUGUUCUUGAGAUUUUAGGCCAAAUCUUUGCAAGAGCAGGAUGUGGGAGAGUAGUAAUGCGUAGAGAUGGUACUUGGUAUGUUUCCCCGUGGUAGAUUUGAUCAACCGUAGUACCGCUCUGUUGUCACAGUUGUGCUCAGAUCCGCUGGUGGUUCAGAUCUGACACCGUGCGGUACUACAGCGCCCCCCAUGCGGUACUACCGCCCGAGGCGCGGCACUAAAAUUUUAUUUCCGUUCCAAGGCGCGGUACUACAGUGCCAUCCUAGCGCGGUACUACCGUGGCUAGGAGCAGCACUAAAAUUUUAGUUCCACGCAUCCAUGCAGUACUACUGUUGUUGUCAAAUCUCCCACGUGGCAAUUACCCAAUGCUAGUUCUACUUAUUUCACCUGCUUGAUGUGGUCUUUGCAUUGACCUUCCUCGCUUCUCUUGCGUGUGUUUGUGUUUCGUGUCAUAGGUGGUGGCUCCGGUCCUCAACGUCGUUCAAAUCCCAGCCGUGACACUGGCUCCAAACGUCUGCACAACCAAGAUGAAGCUCCAGAGGGCUCCAAUGCCCCUCACCGCAGAACCAAGACCACCGCCACCAAGGACAAGGAGCCCUCCAUGGGCAUGGAUGAGAUACCACUUGCUGAGUAUGUUACUCGAAGGAAGAUCAACCCCUAUGUGAAUCCUCGUGCCAAAUUCAGAGGGAAUGAUCUGUUCUGGACCAAGCAGUAGAAUCUCAUUUAUUUGGAUGUGAUCAAGGCCAAGCAGAACAUCUAUGUUGAUGUGCACUGGAUUGACAUGAAUCACAUGAGGGAGGACAAACAUCGUGCCUAUUUUGGUGAGGCUUUGGACCUGGUGGAGCAGUUUGCCAUUGAGGAUGUGAUCUCUUUCCACCUGGACUUUGACCCUGAGAUUGUGGACCAGUUCUUUGCCUCGGUCCACUUCAAUUCUAAUACGGAACGGUCCAUGACCUGGAUGACCAAUGGACAAUGGAUGACUGCUAAGUGGAAGGACUCCAUGAAUCUACUUCAGGUGCCUGAUGAGGGGCUCGACACGCCCGUUGGUGUUUGCCCUUAUGCCAACCCUGAGUCUGCUAACAAGAACAAGCUCCAGCCAUUCCUUGUUGAGAAGAGCCUUCCCAGUGACAAGAAGAUGUGGGUGUUGAACUCGUUCCUUGACAUCAUGCACCGUAUCUUCUGCAACACUCUCUUUCCUCACAUUGGUGACAAGGACAAGGUGCAUGCCUAUCUUGUGGAUAUGAUGCUCAUUUGUGAGGAGGCACGUCACUCUCAGACUCAACCACUUGAUGUCUCACACAUCAUGUGGUGCGAUCUUCGGUUUGCGGUAUUCAACCGUAAGGUGCCCAUCUAUGGACCUUACCUAUUUCUCUUGAUCACGGGGACUUGGGAGAAGCUCUAUCCCCAGGAUGAGUUUGUUGCCCCUGACUGGAUCCGUCACGACCCCGUCAAGCUCCGCAUCAAGCCUCAGUGGGCUAACACCACCGCUCGUGCUGAGGCAAAGGCUGCUAGAAUGAAUGUUGAUGAGGAUGAGAUUGAGAAGGAGGAAGCGGAUGAGGACAGUUCUUCUGGGUAUGCUCCUCCCUCUAUUGAGCCCUCAUGGUCUAAGAAGCUAAAGGCCAAGAUGAAGGCAUUGUUCUGCAUGCAAGCCAAGGGGCAGUACAAGACUCAUAUUGCUUCCAAGGAGAGUCGCCGCCGUGACAAGAGGAUCUUGAGGACCUUUGGAGAGCACGUCACCAGCGGUUCCGAGGAGCUCAUCACCCUAGAGGCUGAAUGGAUGGCGAACCAGGGUUACAAGUGGACAGAUUUUGUGGAGGAGACCAUGCCCGCUGCUGAGUCCGAUGAGGAGCAUGGCGAGUGAUCACUUCAGCUCAAGCCACCACUUGUGUCGUAGGUGUCCUCUCGGCCUUUUUGGUGUCUCGAUGCCAAAGGGGGGGAGAGUGUAGGGAUUUGCGAGUCGUGUGUCGUGUUUUCGUCUUGUCACUUUGUUUUCUUUCCGUUGGACUUCGUUUGCUUUGGUUUGGUUUGUUCUUGUGAGACCAGAGUUUCUAUCAUAUGGUGUAAGACAUAUGCACUCUAGCGCACCAUUUGAGCCUAUUCUAUCUUACUUUUUGCUCAUAGUUAUGAUCUUAUCUCCUUGCUUAAUGCUAGCUUUAUUGUUGAAAGAUAUGCCUUGUUUAUAAAAUAUAGGGGGAGUGCCUAGUAUGUGUGUUGUGCAGUCCAAAGCACUUCUCUAGAUAGCUCACAUCUAGGGGGAGCCCGUCUAUAUUUUAUAGAUGUGGGGUUUGCCUUUGUUCUUUUUAUAUCCCUUUGUGCAAAUCCCAUAUUGUCAUCAAUCCACCAAAAGGGGGAGAUUGUAAGGGCAUAUUUAUCCCUUGGUAGUUUUGGUAAUUGAUGACAAUGCUUUUGCAGACUAAUCGUGUGCAGUGAGCAUUUUAGAUAUACCAUGUCUAAGCACAAGACGGUUUGGUGCCCCUCGAAGACUAUCGAAUACGGCGUUUCUCUAUGUUUCUUUUUGGUGGGUUUGAGUCGUAGGAAAGCCGUACUAUUGAGAGGGGGUCCGCGUUGGAAAGUUUUGGGUGGAAUCAUCACGUACACAUCUUUUCUAUUUGCACCACCUUUCCUUUGGCUCUUUGGAGCAUCCUCUGUUUUUCCGUGUUUCUACGAAAUGAAGGACUCCUAGUGUUGCUGAAUUGGGGCAUGCGGUAGUACUGCUCUCAGGAGCGGUAGUACCGCAGGCCCUUGCGGUAGUACCUCAGACCCUUGCGGUAGUACCGCAGGUGCCCACGGUGGUACCGCGUCCCCGGCGCGGUAGUACCGUGGCCCCAGGGCAGGCCCAGCGGCUCGAGCGGUUGUAGGGGCGGAUGUGAUUUUUUACAUACGCGCCCUACACAGUAGUACCACGCCUCAGGCACAGUAGUACCUGAGCUCUGGGCAGGCGCGGCAACACACGCGGAAGUAGGGGAGGAUGUAAUUUUUUACAUCCGCGCCCUAUGCGGUAGUACCGCUCCAGGUGUGCGGUACUACCGUGUCGGAUUUUUGCACAGAUCCCAACCCAGCGGAAGUUGCCAUGGAUGUAUUUUUAUAUGUCCGUGCCCUCCCAAAUAUGGACUAUCUCUACCUUGCGGUAGUACCGCAAGGGGGAGCGGUAGUACCGCACCAGCGGUUCUACCGCCCUCUGCUGGAUGGGCGGUAGUACCGCAGAGCAUUGCGGUAGUAUCGUGAGCCCUUGCGGUAGUACCGCGCCUCCGGUGCGGUAGUACCAUGCUUCGCAGGCAAAGUUGGUGGAUAACGGUUGGAUUUGUUCUUCCACUAUAUAUAAGGGGUGUAUUCUUCUCCGAGUUGACUACCUCUUCCAUCCCCAAGCUCCAUUGAUGCUCUAAGCUCUAUUUUUGCCCGAUCUCUCUCCCUAGCCAAUCAAACUUGUUGAUUUUCUAGGGAUUGGUUGAGAAGGCCUAGAUCUACACUUCUACCAAGAGAAAUUUGAUUCACCCCACUAAUCCCUUGCGGAUCUUGUUACUCUUGGGUGUUUGAGCACCCUAGACGGCUGAGGUCACCGCGGAGCCAUAUUCCAUUAUGGUGAAGCUUCAUGGUGUCGUUGUAAGCCUCCAAUUAAGUUGUGGAGAUUGCCCCAACCUUGUUUGUAAAGGUCUGGUCGCCGCCUCCAAGGGCACCAAUAGUGGAAUCACGGCAUCUCGCAUUGUGUGAGGGCGUGAGGAGAAUAUGGUGGCCCUAGUGGCUUCUUGGGAGCAUUGUGCCUCCACGCCGCUCCAACGGAGAUGUACUUCCCCUCAAAAGGAAGGAACUUCGGUAACACAUCCUCAUCUUGACCGGCUCCACUCUUGGUUAUCUCAUGCCUUUACUUGUGCAAGCUUAUUUGAGUUAUAUCCCUUGCUUUCUUGUGUGCUUGUUGUUGUUGUUUCAUCAUAUAGGUUGCUCACCUAGUUGCAUAUCUAGACAACCUACUUUGAUGCAAAGAUUAAAUUGAUAAAGAAAAGCUAAAAAUUGUUAGUUGCCUACUCACCCCCCCCCUCUAGUCAACUAUAUCAAUCCUUUCAAUGCUUCACUUAAAUCUUUUCAAGCUAUGGAAUUGCUCUAGUGCUUCACUUAUAUCUUUUUGAGCACGGUGUGCUUUAGUAACUUCAAAGAAAUGCUCUCAUGUUUCACUUAGAUUUAUUUGAGAGUUAGUAAUUUUUAAGAAAUUCUCUCAUGCUUCACUUAAACUAUUUUGAGAGAAGAAAAAUUUUAUGCUCAUGUUCUUCACUUAGAUUUGUUUGAGCUAUCAAAAGCAACAUAUGAAAUUAGUCCCAAAGUGAUAGAUAUUCAAGAGGGAUAUAAUAAAAACUUUCAUGAAGAUCAUUGGACUAAAUAAACUUUGAUUCUUUGUAAUCGUUUUGCGAUAUGAUGAUAUAAUAUGUGAGUCAUGUUGAUGAGUAAUUAUGCUUUAGUAAGAAUAUUGAUGUUAAGGCUUGUGAUUCCCUAUGCAAGAACGAAAGCCAAUAGUUAUGCAAUGAAAUUACAUCCUACUUAUGGUGCAUUAUUCGGUGUUAGUUAUGCUUAAUGCUUGCUUAUAAGAUUUUUCAUUUCUUGGUUGGAUGCUUCUCAAUCUUUUGCUAGCCUUCACUUGUACUAAGUAUGAUCACUACUUGCGCAUCCAAAAUCCUUAAACCAGUUUUACCAUGUGUGUAAGUGCAUCUAGUGCCCCUUAGUGAUUUUGGUGUAUUGAAGACUUAUAGGUUAAGGGACUAAUGUAUUUGUGAGUGUACACAGGUCUAUAAGUCUAUGAGGAGUUUGAUAUUUACGAUGAAAGUCGACCCCUAAAAAUGAAUGUUUUCAGCUGAAGACUUUGGUUUUCUUGAAGACUUUGAAAGUGUGGAAAUUGGUGUGACCAUUGAAGACUUGAUAUUCAUGCGAGGAUUAUGAAGCGUGAAGACUUUUGGUUUCGUAGUUUCAUUUUCUCUUUCUUUAGUCAUAGGAAACACCGUACUGUUAAAGGGGGUCGAGGUAAAACAAAGGAAAAGUUUCCAAGUGAUGCUCAUCUCAAAAUCCUACACCUACCCAAUCCUUUCGAGUGAAGCCAUUGGAAAUCUCAUACAGUUCAGUCAAUUUCUUCAGUGACAAAGACAAAGAUCUUCUGUUCCCUAAGGAAUUUGUUCUCACUGAGGAGUUAGGAAUUCGCCAGUGCGGAUUGCCUACAAGUGAGGAACAUGAUAGCCCUGAGGAAUUUGAGAGCUCAAAUUUCCGACCGUUGUUGUGCUAUGCGCCAGCUGUCCCAAAAUAUCUUAUCCACCUAAUGGUCAUAUCAUUGAAGGGCAUUUAUGUCUUAUCAUGUAGGGCUGCUCCCUAGGCUAUAAAUAACUGCCCCCCUAUAACCACUAGUUGGUUGGCUGCUCCAAGACAAACUGACACUUUUCAUUGAGAGCAUCCCAUCCUCCGAGGACUUUGAGCGAAAAUCGUCAGUGAGGAAAACCCAAACCAAAACACCUACAAACCCAAAGUGAUUGAGCAUCACUGAAGAGAUUGUUCCUGUGUGGAACCGACACUUAUUACCUUUGAGGACUGUGCAUCCUCCAGAUGGUUAGGUGUCAUGGUCUAGAGCAUCUAAGAGGAAAUUAUGGAUCGCCGAGUUACCGAGUCUGUGAAGGUUUGGAAGUCACCUGAAGACUUACCACGAGUGAUUGGGCGAGGUCUGUGUGAUCUUAGCUCAAGGAGAAUACGGUGGGGAUUGUGUGUCCUUGGGUUUAAAUACCUAGCCACUCCAACCAGACGUACGACUGUCACAGCAGUUGGAACUGGUCUACCUAAUCAUCGUCUUCACCAAGUACUGGUUCUAUUUCCUCAACCCUUCAUUUUCCUCAUACAUGUGUUGAUGCACUUGAUCGUUACUAUUUGAGGACUUUGACGGAAGACUUUCUCAAUUUCCUCAUUCCUAAUUCUUCAGUCACUCUGUUCUUUAGCCUUCUUAUCCUGUUUACACACUACUUGUACAUUGUGUACGUUUCAUUUCAUCAUGAUGAUUGUGUUGCUAUUUUGUUAUGCAUGCAUCUGAGUACCUAUUCCGCUGCUAAGUAGUUCAUUCCUUAGAAAUUUCCUCGCCUUGAAAUUCCUUAGUGACAAAUUUGUAAAAAUCGCCUAUUCACCCCCUCUAGUCGAUAUAAUGCACUUUCAAUGUGAGUCCACUAUAUUUACCUAUAUGUGGCAUUCUUCUGUCGUUCUAAGCAAAUUUGUAUGUGCCAUCUCUAAUUUUCAAAAUAAAUUCCCUUUUUGUGUGUUCGUACCGCUCAUGAAACGGAAGGGGGUGGCUGAUAUUUUUCCAUGCUAGAUCUGUUAUUCUCAAGAUGAUUGUUUAUUCACUUGUCAUUGCACCUGAGUAUGGCAAAGGUAUUAGGGAUGCCCAGUCCCGAAAUGAAAAAUGAAUUUACUUUAUGUUGUCAAAUAAUAAAUUGCUUGGAAAGUGUUGGUAUGGACGGCACUCGUGGAUUCGGUUAGCUGUGGAAUUUGAAAGUAUGGUGGAAAAAGGAAUAAACUUUAUUUUCUGUUUGGGAACCGCCUAUGAUAUAUCUAGCAUGGAAAGUAUUGGUAACUACUUGAUCAUUUUCAUUGACAGGAAAAGCAUGCCACCCAAAAUGUUUUUUAUCUUUAUAUUUUUCACUUAGAGCUCUAGCACCUCUACCAAUACCUACUUCCCUCUGCGAAGGGCCUUUCUAUUUUUACUUUAUGCAAUUUUUAUUUUUAUUUGAGUCUCCAUCUUCUCUUAUAAAGCACCAACUAAGGGGCACUAUGAUCGUACUUGAGCAUUGGGUGUACCUAAUAUGCGAGUGUGUUUCAUGAAUGGAUCAAUGAUUGAGCAUAAUGGGCUAGGGAUAACUUGCUUUAGUGUUGAUAUUUUGGAAGACGUGGUUGCUUGUUGAUAUGCUUGAGUAUUGAAAUCUUCAUGUCAAAACUAGACUAUUACUUUGAAUCGUAUAAAAGUCCAAAUGUCCAUGCUACAAAGAAAAGAAUAUGUGAUGAACAUGUUAGGCAGCAUUCCACAUCAAAAAUUCUAUUUUGAUCAUUUACCUACUCGAGGACGAGCAGGAAUUAAGCUUGGGAUGCUAAUACGUCUCCAACGUAUCUAUAAUUUUUUAUUGUUCCAUGUUGUUAUAUUAUCAUUCUUGGAUGUUUUACAACCAUUUGAUAGCAACUUUGUAUCAUUUUUUGGGACUAACCUAUUGACAUAGUGCCCAGUGCCAGUUGCUGUUUUUUUGCUUGUUUUUUACUUCACGGAAAAUCAAUACCAAAUGGGAGUCCAAACGCAGCAAAACUUUUUGGAGAAUUUUUUGGGCCACGAGACACAAGAUGGGCCAAAGAAGUACUAGAGGGGUGGCCCGAGGGGGACACAACCCACCUAGGCGUGCCUUGUGCCCAGGUGGGUUGUGCCCACCUUGAUGGCCUCCCGCACCGCCUCUUUUCUCUAUAAAUACCCCAAUAUUCCAAAAAAAUCUAGGGGAGUCGACGAAACACAAUU
rnacentral:lncRNA from 1 species